rnacentral:lncRNA from 1 species
UUUUUGCCAACGAAGACAAACAGGGAGAUGAAGAUGAAACACAGAGACAUAAAAGAGUCGCUUAGGGAAAUGAUAAAGAGAAGGGAGAAGGCAAUUAAAGCAGGGGAAGAGAGCAAUGAGGACUUGUUGGACAUACUUGUGGAAUCCAAUAUCAGAGAAAUGGAAGCAAAGAAUAUGGGGAUGAGCAUUGAGGAUGUGAUUGAGGAAUGCAAGCUGUUUUACUUUGCUGGCCAAGAGACCACUUCGGUCUUACUGGUGUGGACUAUGGUUUUAUUAGCAAGGUAUCCCGAUUGGCAAAGUAAAGCAAGAGAGGAGGUUUUGCAUGUUUUGGGUGACAAUAAACCUGAUGCUGAUGGCCUUAAUCGUCUCAAAGUUGUAAGUCCCUAGCAUGUCUUUUGAAGGUCCGAUCAAUGAGGUCGACAACUCAAAAACUUUGUUUCUUUUUUCGCUAAUUCUACAGGUAACGAUGAUAUUGUACGAGGUUCUAAGGCUGUACCCACCGGUGGUUGAGCUAGGACGUUCCGUUCCAAAAGAAAUAAAACUGGGGAAUUUGUUGUUACCAGUAGGAACAGAAGUUUCGGUUCCGAUCCUGCAGAUCCACCAUGACAAAGAUCUUUGGGGUAACGACGCACGGGAAUUUAAGCCAGAGCGGUUCGCGGAAGGGGUUUCCAAAGCAACAAAGAGUCAAGUCACGUUUCUGCCAUUCGGAUGGGGUCCUAGGAUCUGUAUUGGCCAAAAUUUUGCUUUGAUGGAAGCCAAAAUGGCGAUGGCUAUGAUUCUCCAACGCUUCUGGUUCGAGCUUUCCCCUUCCUAUGCUCACUCUCCUUACAGCAGGGGAACUCUUCGUCCACAGCAUGGUGCACAGAUAAUUUUACAUAAACUUGGCUGUAAUUGAAUUGUUAUGUAAACAAAUCUUUGUGAAAACAUAGCGUUUUAGUGUAUCGUCAAAGUCCGGUGUCUGUAAUGGUACAAAUUCGAUGCAUGAAUAGUAAAUUUUGAGAUGUUUGGUGAAGUCCGAAAUAAUAUGCAGAAAUUGAGCGUCUAUGGUGGACAUAGUUGAGGGACUAAUGUGGUAAUUAUCAAUCAAAUAAUUCGGUACAAAGACUUGUAUGGAAAUUAAAGCAGGGGGAGUUGAAAAUGACUACUCUGCUUUGGGCAUCAAUUUAGAAAGAUUUAAAGUACAACUGUGUUAUCAGUUAAGGGAUUUGUUUUAAAGAGGGAAUGACAAUUAAACCUCAUGGUUUAUUUGUGCAAGGGAACCGAUGAUGGGAUGAUUAUUCUUAGUGGUAAAAAAAACCAUUAUGGAGGUUAUUACACUUGUUAUCAUCAGCUUAAAAUUCGAAUGGGUUCAAGUCGGAUUAUAUCGAGCUUGUAAGAUGAGUUCACGGACCAAGUUUGCAUAAUAAAAUACCUAAAUGAAAAAAAAUUCUAUUUUAGAGGGACGAGAGCCCCUAUCAACUCCCGGCUCAGCCACUAAACAAUACCUAUAUCAUAUAAAUAAAUACCACCAUCUAAAAGACUCAAAGAAAAACACUCAACAAAGGAUAAAUAGAUAGAUGUUGGAUAAGUGUCCAAAAUAUGAUUUAAGUGAAGAUACAUGUGGUAGGUGUUACGGAAAUGUGAAGACAAGAAUCCCACUAACGUAUGGGAUGUGUGCAGUUGAAUGUAGGGAGCAAAAAGAGGAGUGAAUCAUUUUGGUAACAUUUGGACAAGAAACAUAAUGAACAAAAUGGAAGGAGAGGAAGCUAGUAAAAGAAUUUUUUUGGGUCAUAUAAUUUGUUCAUUUUGGAGUUGAAUUAUAAUUUUUUUAUAUAUUAUUUUAAAAUUUUAAGGAGUUAAAACAAAAUUAUUUUAUUUUCAGAUGGUCAAAGUAGAGGUGAUAAUGGGUUGGGCUAUUCGGCCCGGCCUGACGAUUCACUCGAAAAAUAGGAGGGUUUAGGUAAAAAUAUAGGCUCGAAAUAGGGAUUUGAGCAAAAAAAGAGUCCCGUUUAGAAAAUGGGCCAGGCCUCGGGUAAAAUUUUUUGGGCCCAAGCCUGACCUGAAUUAUAUAUUAAAUAUAUUUUUUAAUUUUUAAUCAAAUAUACUUUUUUUUAUUAAUUUGGUUAUUAUUUUAGUUCUAAUUUGUUUCAAUUUUAAUAUAACCACUUUUUAUUAUAUUUUCAAUUUGUGUAUUGUUUUAAGAAUUGUUUUAGUCUCAUUUUUUUAUUUAUUUUUUGUUUUAAUAAUUGUUUUAAAAAUUUUUAUUUAAUGAAAUAAGCUAAAAAAAUUAAUAUGGGCUUGGCCAGGCCAGGCUCGGGCCUAGUAAUUUUCUUUUGGGCCGGACUUAGAUAAAAUUUUAAGCCCAUAUUUUAAAUUGGGUCCUAACCUAAAAAAUGAACCUAAAAUUUUAUAUGGGCCCGACUUGGCCCUUGAUUACCUUUAGGUCAGAGCUAUCCUCGUUUUGCAUUUCUUUGAGAUUCAGCCUUAUCUACUGUGAUUGCCCACUCAAUUGAGGGUUGAGUAGAAAGAUUUGGUGAAGCAAGCUAAGCUAUCAAUCAAGGUUUGCAUAAUUAUUUAAAUGUAAUUCUAAUAUUAAAAUAAUUUUUUUAUUAAUAUAGUAUCAACAAGCAUUAAAUGUAAUGAUCAUAUACUAUUACAUUUUAAAGAAGAGAAAACAUGUUUGAACUUUAAAAACCACGUUACUAAAAACAUUAUCACAAACCUUGAAAUAUAAAAAAUAAUUUUUUUAAUAUAAUAAAAAAUUAAUUUUAAACCCGAGCUGAAUAAAAUUCUAAUUUUAGUUAAUGAUACGAACAACAAAUCAAUAUUCUAAGCCCGAGCCCUGCUCAUUUUUUUAAUAAACACCAAAAAUUUAUUUUGAAAAUAAAAAAUAAAAAAAAUAUUUUAAAAAUAUUUUAAAAAUAAAAAAAAUUAAAAAUAAAUAUUUAUUAUAUAUUCAGGCCGGGCCGGGCUAGCCUUGGGCUAAAAAAAUGGUGCCCGAGGCCCGGCCCAUUUUCUAAAUAGGCCUCAUUUUUUGUCCAAACCCAUAUUUUGGGCCUAUAUUUUUACCCGAACCUCUCAUAUUUUGGGCGGACCGUCGGGCCGGACCGGGCCGCCCGGCCAUGAACACCUCUAGGGCAAAGUCACUCAAUGAAUGCAUGGAAAGAAAUAUUGCAACUUGGUGACAGCUUUUGUUGGAGUUAUAUGCUUUUUUUUACAUAGUGGAACUUUCGGUGGAUUUUCAAGUUUCAUGAACUUUAUACCCUAGGCUUUACGUGAAAAAAAUCAUUGGACUUAAAAGUCUACCAAAAGUUUCACUAUAAUAAAUAAAUAAAUAAAUAACAUUGCUACAAGACUACAACAUAAAGUUACAAUAAGAGCUUAUAACUCAACAAAGGCUAUCAAUAAAUAAUCUCAAGCAAGCUAAAGAGAAAUGUUGAGAGUACCACUCAAAUAGUGAUUGACUUUAAAAAUUGAAAACCCGAAGUUAUUGUUGACACCAUUUUUUGGAUGAAAAUGUGUCGACUUGGGUUUUGAAAAUGAAAACGAAAACGAGAGUCGCCACCAAUCCUUUUUGAUAAGGUGUGACUGGGUCACCUUGAAAAGUGGUUGUUUUUAAUAAACGAUUUGAUUUUAUUAAAACAACAGUUUUGGUCCACGAAAUUCAGAAAAAUGAGUUCGGGAGUCGGUUACGCACGAGGAAGGAUUAGCACCCUCGAUACGCCCAAAAUUGGUACCUAGUUGAUUACUUAAUGUCUUAAUGUCGAAAAUUGAAAACUUUGGAGAAUUUUAAACAUACGAUCCUUGUAUUAAAACGUUAAAAAUUUUCAAGAAAAUGGGAUAUUUCACGUUAUUCGAUAAAGAGAAUCAUAUCCUAGUAAGUUAGGACACAAUAUCUCGAAUUUCCGAUAUCAUUUAAAACUUGAGUUUGAAAAGAUUCGUGUAAUAAAGUUUAAAAUAAUAUUCAAUUGUUUAAAUCAAAUGAAGAAAUCGCAACCCAAUACGUUAGGGCACAAUUUCUCAAAAUAUUAAACAUUGAAUAUUGCAUUUAUUUCGAAAAAUCCUCAUCUCGAGAAAACGUGUCACAUCCAAUGCAUUAGAAUACAACGUAUUGAAUUCUCGAUAACGAGCUUUUUCUCAUUUUUUAAAAGAGUAAUCUCGAUUAUUUAGGUUCAACGAAGAAAAUCAAAACCCAAUACGUUAGGGCUCGAUUUUCUCAAAGAUUCCAAAUACCGAGUAUUACUUAUAUUUUUAAAAUUUCUUUUUUGAAAUCCGAGUAAAAAUGAAUGCAAAAUAAUAAAUGAUGACAAUGUAAAUAAAAUGAUACAAGCAAAACAAUAAACAAUAAAAAUAAUCAUACGGGCAAGGUAACAAAUAAUUAGGAACUAAAGAAAGAGAACAAACAAUAAUAAACAUGCAAAUAAAUGAACAAAAUUAACAACAUGAUGCAAAUAUGAAAGAUAUAUAAGCACAUAUAUAUACAUAAAAUAAUGAGAAUAUGAAAAAAUGUGUGUAAUUGGACAUGUUUCGGAAUUAUUAUACAUUUAAAAAUCAUGUAAAUGUGUGUACAUACAUAUAUACAUAUAUAAUAAUCAUUAAAUAUAUAAAAAUACAUAUGUGUAGGUAUAUAUGAGUCAUAAAAUGUAAAGAAUAUAUACAAGAUAUAUUUUGAACGUAUAAAGUAUAUGUAAAUGUAUAUAUAUAAUAAAGGUGUAUGAAAGCAUAUUUUAUAUACGUGUAUUUAUAAAAUGUAUAUAAAUGUAUAUUGAUUUACCAAUACAUAUGGAUUUAUAAUUAUAGAAUAUAUAUAAAAUAUUUACAUAUAUACGUUUAUGCAUAUAUAAAAGUAAGUUAUUAUAAAAUAUGAGCAAGCAGAAUACAUAAAUAUAUAUACAUAAAAUAAAAAUGAAGAUGAAAAUAAUAUAAAACUACUUAAUAUAUUAAUAUAAUAGUAACAAAUUAAAAAAACAGAAAAUAAAGCUAAUAAUAAUUAAUAAUAGUAGUAAUAAUUAUAGCAGCAAUGAUAAUGAUAAUAAUAAUAACACUAAAAAAAUUAAUUAAAUAAUAAAAUUGCUAAAAAGGGAUUAAAUCGAAAUAAAAACAUAAAUACUGGGCGAUUUUGAAAUAAAAAACGGGAAGGACCGAAUUGCAACGCGCGUUGAAAAGGAAAGGGCCAAAACUGCAAAUAAACCACAGCCCCAAAACGCAGCGUUGAAAUGGACCAAGUCGAAAUAAAAAUAAAAUUGCAGGGGCUAAAUUAAAAAUAAGAGAAAAUAACGAAAAAUGAUCAAAUUGUAAUACGCUGCAAAAUCAGGGGGACUGCACGCGCAAAUAGCCCAAAAACUGAAAACACGCGGAUCCUCCGGGUCGGGUCGGGUCGGGUCAGGUCGACGUGCGGAUCCCCUUUGCUAAAACGGCGUCGUUUCAUGUUUAAUAUAAAUACUAAAAAAAGCUAAAAAAAACAGUUUCAUCUUUUUUUAAAAAAAACAGAGAGAAAACUCUCUCUUUUUCCCUCAGGUCCGGCCAUGGUCCGGCUUGGGAUUUCCGACGAGUCUCCGCCGCAAAGCCACCGUGUGUGGCGGCCGGAGGUUCAAAAUCAGACCUUUUUGGUCCUUUUUUAAAGUCCAUGGCCUCCAAGCCACAGAUCCGGGGCUGAAUCUCCUGAAUCGAAAGCCGAAGACCCAAAAAAUGGGGUGAAAUCCUUCGCCUUCCUCCCCCUUCCGGCGCUGCGCAGGUAAGGUUUUUUUUAACUCCUUUUUUACUAUCUUUAUUUAUAUAUAUACAUGAAGAGAAAAGAGAGCAAAAUAAAUAAAUAAAUAAAAACUUCAAAACUGAAGAGAAAAAGACCUUGAAUCUGCCUUAUUUAUUUUCUUUCGGUUGAAUCUGUUUUUGUUUGUUACAAAAGUUUCCAGGGAAGAGAAAAAAAAAGAGAGUUACAUGCUUGGCUUUUAUAGCCGAUAUUAAUUUCUAUUUUUUGUUUUCUUUUUCCUUUCUUUUCUUUGGCUGUUGCGUGUUUGCUUCCUUAUUGCAGGGUGAUUGACGGGAGUGGUUGGCGACAGAGUCGGUGGCCACUUGCACUGAUGAAGCAGCGGUGGCGGCGCUAGGGUAGGCUAGGGACGGCGGCAGUACUAGGGUUUCAGAAAACUGAAACCCUAGUUUGACAAAUUGGUUUCGGGCCUGUUGGGCUUUAAAUUAUGGGCUUUGUAAUUGGGUUUUGGGUUUAGGUGAUUUGGGUUUAGGUGGUAUGGGCCCGGGUCAAAUUUUGGGUAAUGGGAUUGGGGCAAAAUUGGGUUGUACAGUUAUAAUAUCCCAAACGAAAUCAAACUAUAAACAUUAAAUUUUUCGAGUCUUCUAGAUACUGUAAAAAAUUCAGCUCCAACGGACACCAAAUGAACCUAUGAUCGAAGAAAAUACGAAGACUAGUCUGGCUAAAUCAAUCUGCCAAACUUACUUUUUAUCUUAUCUUUAAUUUGCUGUGAAAUUCAAAACUACGUGUAAUACUCAAUUUAUGCUCGACCCAUUUUGUUAAAACAAAUAAAAAAGAAAAGAAAAACAAAAUAUUUAAAUUUAGCCCAAAUGUCCAUUUACACAGCCCAAUUACAAUUGCAAAUAAAAAAAACUAAAACUAAACCCGAUCCUAAGCAUCAGCCCAAAUUCGACCCAUGCCCAAAACGAAUUCAGAUGCAGAAACCCUAGCCCAGCCUUAAUGCAAGCAAAAGUCGAAAGCCCUAAUAGUUGGUGCGCCGCUCCUGUAACAGCCCGAUUUUGGGCCUAGUCGGAACAGUGGUUUUGGGACCACAAAUCCGACGAGAAAAAAAUGUAAUGGCCCGAAUUUUCAGAGGUGUCAGAACGGUGAUUCGAGAUCACUAAAUUCGACAAAUGGGUAGAAAAUAUUAUUAAUUUAGUAAGUAUAAGUUAAAUGUGAAGUUAGGAAAAUUUUUGAAAUGGUGAAUAGUACACUAGAAAUAAAUAUUAAAAUAAUUAGAAUCGAAAAUGAGGUAUCGAGACCUCGGGGAUUUUAAACCGAGCCAUAAAUAUUUUUAUAAAUAUUUAUGUAGUCUUAAAAAGUUAGUAUUAAAGUUUCGUUAAGAAAUUUUAAAGUUCCGAUAAUUAAUUGAACAAAAAGGACUAAAUUGUAACAAAUACAAAAUUAUGAGAAAUGAUUAAAUAGUUUAAAUGAUAAAAGGAAGAGGGCUUAAAAGGUAAAUAGACCCAAGGUCUAUUUGGGCUGCACGGCAAAGGCAUGAAAUCAGCAACAAAGUAAGGAGAAUUAAGGGCAAAAUUGGAAUAUUGCAAAAUUUACUUAAUAAAGUUAGGACCAAAGUGGAAUUAUCUAGAUUUCUCUUUAUUUUUCUGCAUUAUCAUCAGCAUAAACACCAUAGAAGGGUUUUCUUAAGCUGGUUCUUCCUAUUUUUACUGCAGGUAAGUUCAAUUCUUGAUUAUUUCUUGAAAAUUUUGUGUUUUUGUGACUUUUACAACUAGGCCCACUUAUUGUAUUCAUUAGUUUUUGAUUCUAUGAAAGAAGUUGAAAGUUGCUAUGAAUACAUGCUGGAAGUAUAUGAUGAUUUAGCAUGGAAUUAGAGCUUUAAAUUGUUCAUAUGCUGAUUUAUUGAAAGAAUUGAAUAGAAAGUGAAUGUUUGGGACCUAAUAGUAAAAGAGUUUGAAGAUAGAGUUAUAUGUGGAAAUUCUGAAUUUCAAUAGUUGUGAAACAACUUAUAAUGUCUAGGUUAAGUAUUAAUUGAGAAAAUUAAAUUAAUUGAGGGGUUAAUUGAGAAAGGACCGAAUUGUAUAAACUGUGAAAUUUGGGGCAAAAAGGAAAUCAACAUUUUACACUAAAGCAGUUUUGGACAGCAGCAGUAGUAUAACUUUGAAAAAUCACCAAAAAUUUUGAGAAUUGAAUUAGAGGGUGAAUAAAAUAUAAAAUUAAAGCUCCUUGAAUCUAGUUUCUCAUAGAAGAAACGGUGUAAGCAAUGGAAUUGUAAAUCAUGAGAUAUAAUAAAUUUUGUGAGACAAUGUCAUAAUGAUUUCGGGUUCCCCUAUUCUGACUUUGGAAAAUCAUCAAAAAAUUAAGAAAAAUAUGAGUUAUAAUUUAUAUGAUUACAAUCCUUAAUGAGUCUAUUUUCAAAGAAAAUAAACGGAAAUAUCAUCCAAAUUCUGUACAAUUAUAUAAUUCAUUUUUAGUGAAGAGUGGUCGAAACUGUCAGACAGCGAAAUAGGGGGAACUUUAAAGAAUAAACUGUACUAUUUGGCUGAACCAAAAAUUCUGAAAAUUUUAUGGUAAGAAGGUAUGUGAGUCUAGUUUUAAGGAAAAUUAACGGAUCUUAAUUUAGAGCUCUGUAGCUCUAGAUAAAAAUAAUUUAGUGACUCUGACUCAGAUAAAUAGCUUUGAAUGUACAUGUGAGUGAAUAGUGAAAUUAUAGCUAGUGUUGUUUAAGUGUGUUAUACACAUUAAGGAUAUGGAAUGGAGAGGAGGAGGAGGAGGAAAAAUUGGGAAAUAUAUGAAUGAUUUGUGUAUAAUUGGUCAUAUGCUUAAUUAUAAUUGAUAAACGAUGAAAUAGAAAUGAUGCAUAUAUUUGUGCAGUAUUGGUCAUGGUUUAAGCUCAUGUGGGAAAAUAAAGUUUAUAGUACGUGUGUAUUAUAUUUUUGGUAUAUGAUUUGGCAUUAAGUAAUGUCGUGAAUGGAUAUUGAAUUAACACAUGUUGGAAAGUUUGAUAUAUGAAUAAAUAUUGUGAUCAUGAAAGAGUGUUACAGCUCCUGCCUUCAGCACGCGUCGAGCCUCCGCGCCAAAUCCACGUGAGCCUCCGUACACUCCAACUAGCCUCCGUACCUGCAACAAACAAAAGUAGACAAAACAACAGCAAAGGAUAGGAAGAAAAGGCAGUAAAUAGUGAAGAUUUUUCUGUAAUUUUCUUUGGAUUUCAUUAUGUAUUUUCGGCUAUAAAAGAGCCAUUAGGAAUAUUUGUAAAGGGUUUUUUUUUUACCCUCACACACAAAGAGAAUAUACACGCAUACAAGAUCAAUAUAGAGAAAGAAAUAAAAAUAAAUAAAUACAAAGAAUAGAAAAUCAAGUUUCGAAGGUGAUUCUUUGAAAAAUCCUUUUCGUUUUUCUCAUUUUUCCUUUUUCCUGGAUCUUUUGUUCAUUUCAAGUAAAAAAAGUAUAGAAAGGAAACAAGUUUAGAGGAAGGAGGUUUACCUGGACGCCGGACCUCGCUCGCCUCGUCGAAAUCGAAGGCUGAGAGGGGAUAAAUCGGUUUUGCGGCAGAAGGAAAGGGGGGCUAGGGUUCUUGUUUUAACUUUUUUAAAAAAAAUAGAAAAGGUUGCUAAUUAGGUUUUAAUGGGGGAUUUAUGUGUGUUAAAAAAACGACGUCGUUUAGCGACCUUUGACCCGUGCGGUGACCCGACCCGAGGAAAGGAUCUGCGCGUUUUGGGUCUGAUGGGUUUAUUGCGCAACAAGCCCUUCCGCAUUUGUUUUUCGUUUCAAUUCGGUUUUUAUUUGUUUUUUAAUUGUUUUCUCAUAUUUAGUUCCAAUUUCAAUUGGGUCCAUGAUUAAACGACAUCGUUUUCAUUGAUUGGGUUUGAAGGCCUGGUUUUGUGCGUCUAAAUUGCAGCAAUGGUCCCCCUGAUGUGCAAUAGUUCUCGAUUUAGUCGUCUCCACACUUAUUUCAAAGUCGUCCUUGAGAUUUUGUUUUAUUUUUGAAAUUGUCCUUGUCUUCUUUUAAUUUAUAAUGAUAUUAUUAUUAUUGUUGUUGUUAUUAUUACUAUUAAUAUGGGUAUUGUUAUCAUGUUAGUUUAUAUCUAUUUAUUUACUUUUAUUUUAUUAUGUAUUAUUAUAUAAUGCUUUUAUCAUGUAUCAUUUUAUAUAUUUUCUAUGUUAAUCUAAUAUGAUAUAUAUAUAUAUAUGUAUUUUUGUGAUCUUAUUUUAUAAUACUUUUUUAACCCAUUUAUAUGCCUUUAUGUUUUAAAGAUUUAUAAUAUUUUGUGCAAAACUAUUAUAUAUAUAUAUAGAUAUACAAUUUAUAUUAGACCAUUUUUAUCGUACAUAUACGUAUAUAUAAUUUAUAUUUUGAAACUCUAUUUUAUUAUAUUUUAUGCCUCUAUAUACAUCAUUAUAUGUUUAUUAUUCUUUAUAUUAAACCUGCCAUUUCACUUAUAUAUUUUUAAAACCAAUGUGUAUUAUUCUUUCUUCUUUGUUAUUUUUUAUCUCUUAAAAUAGAUUGAUAAUUCAUUUAAUUUUUGAAUGUUGUAUGACCGAGAUUAUCGUUGCCAUUCUUGUCCAAAUUUAUCCAUUGCUUGUUCAUAUUAUUUGAUAAUUUAUCGCUCACUAGCAUGUAUCGUAAUUUACGAAUUAUCAUUUUGAAUUAUGUACUACCAUUCAAUCGCAUUACAUUUGUUUGGAAAACAUCGAAAUCGUUUUGCACAUAAACCUUCAAAAUGCUUGGUAUCCAAAAUUCUCGAGAGGAUUGUGCCCUAAUUUAUUGGGCUUCAAUUCCCCUUUUUGAUUUUAAAUAACCGAAUACCCCUUUUUCAAUUUGAACAUAGAAAUUCCAAAAUAAAAAAAAACUCAUUCUCGGGAAUUUGAUGCGUUGUGUCCUAACGUAUUGUAUAUGACAUAUUUUUCUCGAGACGAGGAUUUUUCUAACAAAUAAAAAUAAAGGCAAUAUUCGAUAUUUAGGAAUUUUGUGAAAUCGAACCCUAACUUACUGGGUUUUGAUUUUUUCAUUUGACCCAAGUAGGAUAUCCUUCACAAAUGCACAGAUUUUAAAAAAUCAAAAGAUAAACUUAAUUUCGAGGAUUUAAAAUGUUACACUCUGACUUACUGAGUGUGUCAAUUUAUUUCUUUGAAAUAAGUGAGUCUUAUCAUCCAAUUUAUUUUAUUCAAAUUUUCUUUUCCAAGGAUCGUAUUUUAAAAUUUUUUCAAAAUUUCGACAUUAAGACAUUAAGCAAUCAAUUCAGUACCAAUUUUGGGCGUCACGAGGGUGCUAACUCUUCCUCGUGCGUAAUCGACUCCCGAACCAGUUUUCUCAAAAUUCACAGACCUAAAAUUAUUUUCAAGGUGAUCCGAUCACACCACAAUAAAAGAUCAGUGGUGACUCCCAUUCCUAUUUUUAAAAGUCGAUUCCUGUUUUUCAUAUAUAAAAAAAUGGUUUCGACACUACGGUUUUGUUUGUUUCCCUUAGAACAACUUUCAAAAAGUUAAUUUUGAAAAAUGGAUUGAAUUUUCAAAAUAGAUGAUAUUUUUUUGUGUUAAAAUUUUAUUCGUUGUUUGAAAAAAAAAUUUAAAUCAUUUUCUUAGAAUUAUUUUUAGUGAAACAAAUAUAUCAUAAAUAUAUUUGUUAUAAAAUAUUAUAUUAAUAUUUUCUUUUAACAAUUAAAAUAUAUUUUGUGAUAAGGUAAUAUUUUAUAAUAAUUAAUAUCAUAUAUACUUAAUAAUAAAUCAUGUCUAAUUAAAAUUUAAUUUCAAUUAAAUAUAUUAAUAAAGCUACAUUUAAUCAUAUUUUAUAUAAUUAAAAUAUUAAUAUAAAUAUUUUUCAAUAAUAUAUUAAAGAAUAUUUAAAAUUUAAAUUUAUUAUUACUAAGAUUAAUUAUUAAAACAAAAAUGUAAUAUUAAAUAAUUUAUCCAAUGAUAAGUUAUAUUAAUAAUUUAUUAUAUUAUUAAAUAUAAAUAAUUAAAUAUGUAUGUUUAAUAAUAUUAUGUUAUAAUAUUUAUUACUAAUAUUUUAAUAUUUUUAAACAACCAUGUUUUAAAGAUGGUGGUGAUGGUGAUGGUGCAGGCCCCCUUGUUAAAAUUACAAUAUUUUUAAGUGGGAUGCAUGUAAUAUAUUGUUAGGGUUUUAGAGUAUGUGGUCUUUAAAAGGGUUAAAUUAUAUAUUUAUAUAAUAUGAUUAUUGUUUAUAAACAUAAUAUUGUAGAUAAGUUUAUAUGUAUGUCAAUAUGUAUCCUACUCUAAGGUUAAUAUGUAUUUUUUAGAUGUGGGUUUACCUAUAUAAUAGUAUGAAUCCAUCAUGUGGUCUCAUGAAAUAUACAAACACAUAUCGUGCGAACACAAAGUACGAACAAUAAAAAAUACAAAUCAAGACCCAAUUGAAUAAUUGAAUAACGGAUAGGUAAUAAUGAAUAUCAUAACAUUUACUAUCCCCUCUUUUCUAGUGAGUUAUUGUUUAUGAUAAAUUUGCAACAAAUGUUUUUAUCAUUAUUUUGUUGGUAAAUGAUAAUAAGAUUAAACAUUACUUUCUUAAGCUCCUUCAAUUCUUUGGACGUUAGCGAGUAAACUUGAGCUUCAGCAUUCCACAAACACCUUAAUUUGAAGACACAGUUCUCUCAUACUAAAAACGACAUGGACGUUUACCUUGUAAUUAGAGAUUUGGGCUCAUUGUUGGGUUAUUAAUGAUACGGGGAUGGAGAGCUUUAAACUGGGUAUGGUUGGCCCCAAAGAGGCUCGAAACGUGCUUGAGACUAGAGGUGAUCAAGGGCCGGGUUAGGCCCAGUCUAGAAAAAAAAUUAGGCCCAUUUUUUAGAUUUGAACUCGGCUCGGCUCAAAAUAUAAGCUUAAAAAUUUGUCUAAGUUCAGUCCGAAAGAAAAUUGUUAAGCCCAAGCUCGACCCAUAUUAAAUUUUACAACACCAAAAAAGUAUAUUUAAAUAAAAAUAAAAUAUAUAUAUUUAAUAUAUAAUUCGGGCCGAGCUGAACUCGGGCCAAAAAAGUUUUACUCGGGGCUGGUCCGUUUUCUAAACAGACUUCGUUUUUUUUGCCAAAAUCCAUAUUUUUACCCGAAUCUUCCUAUUUUUUGGGGUGUGCCGUCGGGCCGAACUGGGUAACCGAACCAAUGAUCACCUCUGUAAUCACUGAAUUUUGUCCGGGAAUAACUUUCGUUAAAAAAAUUUUAAAAUUAAAAAAAAAUUAACUUUUUUGCUUUUUGACCCCUAAACUUUUCUAAAAUUUCAUUUUAACCCCUAAACUUUCUCAAAAUUACAGUUCAACCCCUAAACUUUUCUAAAUUACAUUUUGACCCCUAAAAUUUCUUAAAAUUACAUUUGGACCCUUACACUUUCUCAAAAUUACGUUUCGGCCCCAAAAUUUUUGCUACAUUUACAAAUUGGUCCUUCUGUCAGAAAAUCCCCAAUAAUCCGGCGGAUUUCGUGCACCUGCCCCACUAUUUCCGGCAGCCGGCCUAGGGCAUGGCCUUCCCCACCUGCUACCUGCAAACAAGAAGCAAAAUCAACUAUAAAAAGGAGUUUAAACUCCAAAAAUCGGACCCCCACCCACGAAAAAAAUAAAAAAAAAAAACUUGAAAGAAAAAGAAAAAAGCUUUGAGAAAGAAAAAGAAAAGGAAAAGAAGAGAGGGGAGAAGGAGAGGCCGACCAUCGGCGAGCCACCGGAGGAGGCGACGGCAGCAGCGGCAUCGACGGCGGCGUAGAAGACCGAACGGAGAAGAAGAAGAAGAAGAAAAAAAAAGAAAGAAGAGAAAGAAAGAAGGAAGAAGAAGAAGAAAGAAACAAAAAAAAAAGAAAAUAUUUUGUAAUAGUCGGCCCGGCCCGACUCGACCUGCACGACCCGUGACCCGACCCGACAGCACCAGCAACCUAGCAGGCCACGGUAGCAGCCCGGCGGCCCAAAGAGUAGCCCAAAAAGAAAAAAAGAAGAAGAACAAAGCAAAAAAAAAAAGCAGGCCAUUUUCAGCAGGCCCAGUGCAGCCCAGCAGACCCAGCGAACCCAGCAGGCCAGGCCCACACGCAAGCAGCCCAACAGAAAAAAAGGGAAAGAAAAAGAAAAGAAAAAAGAAAAAAGAAAAAAGAAGAAGAAGGGGUUCAAUUUGUAUUAUCCGUUCGGCGAAGCUCGUGUUUUGAGGAUUUUUUUUCGGUAAUUUUAUUUUUUAAUUUUAAUUUAAUGCUCGUAUUUUUUUUAAAUAUUAUUAGUAUUUUAUGCAUUUUUAUAUUUUGGCAUUUAUAUUUUUAAUUUAAUUUACUUCAAUUUUUAUUUUAUUUUAUUUUAAAUAAUUUUAAUAAAUGAGGCAACGAAUCGAUUUAACAUAAAAUCGUUGAUUUCAUUGCUAUGUUGGGUGAAUAUCAUCGGUUUGUGUUAAACACGAUACACCCUUUUUAAAAAAAAGAAAAAAAUCGAAAAAAUUCUAAAAUUCUCAUUUUUUUAAAAUUCUCGUGUUUUAAUAGAAUCACGAUUAAAUAUUAAGUUGAAUCGAUUUGGCACUAAUUCGAUGAUUUCAUCUCCAUGUAGGGAUGAAUAUCAUUUAUUCGUGUUAAAUAUGGUACUUCUGAAAAAAAAUCGGGUUUCAAAAAUUUUCGUGUUUUCAAAAAUUCUCAUGUUUCAAAAAUCUUCGUGUUUUAAAAAUUCCAGUGUUUCAAAAAUUUUCGUGUUUUCAAAAAAAAAUUUCUCGUGUUUUUAAAAAUUCCCGUAUAUCGAAAUUUUCUUGUUUUCAAAAAAAAAAUUCCAUGUUUCAUAAAUUUCCGUGUUUUCAAAAAAAAAUUCUUGUUUUUCAAAAAUUUUCGUUUUUAAAAAAUUUGACCGUGUUUCAUAAAUUUUCGUAUUUCAAAAAAACCUCGUGUUUCAAAAUUUUCGGGUUUUUUUAAAAACAAUUCGUGUUUCUAAAAUUCUCGUAUUUUAAAAAAAAUCGUGUUUUCAAAAAAAGAAAAAGUUGUUGUGCUUUAAAAUUAUCGUGUUUCAAUCGGAUCACGAUUAAUAUUAAAUUGAACUCGUAUUUUUGAAAAUGAAAACAACGCGCGUUUAACGAGAUACCAAUUUUGGGCGUCGCGAGGGUGCUAAUACCUUCCUCGCGCGUAACCGACUCCCGAACCUUAAUUUUCUCUGAAUUUUUACGUGGACCUAAAAUUACCUCUUUUUAGAAAAGUUUAAAAAUGAAUUUUUCUUCUAAAAAGAGAAUUUUGUAGGUGUCCGAUCACACCUAAAAAAAGAUCGGUGGCGACUCCUUUUUUUCAAAUAAAAUCGAGAUUCAGUUUUCAAGUUUUUAAUAAUUACUUCGACAAGCGCCCGUGCGCAAAAUUUUUAAGUCGCUACAGCCUCUACUUGAGACAACAGGGUUUUGCAGGGAAUUCUUACAGGUUCGUUUCUGGCGACAAAAAAGAGCUCUUCACUAUAAGCAUACAAACAAGAGCCAAAACUAUGCCUCUUAGUGAUGAUAUUAGGCCUUAUGUUAUUCCUUUUCAACAUCAAACCGUCAACCGGUAUGGUAUGUUUUUUUUAUUUAAUCUGCAAUUUGUGAUAAUUCUUUGUUAUUUAUGUAUGGAAUUUAUUGGGAGGAAAUGCUGGAAAGAAUUCAUUUACGAGAAUUGGUCCAAGAUCAAGGGUGAACAUUACGGACCCUGAAAAAUAAGAGAAAUACUUAACAAAUUUAAUGACUUCCAGAAGAUACGUACCAAUCCACUGCUUAAUUUGCUUGUAAGCGGCCUUGUUAACCUCGAAGGAGACCGAUGGAGCAAGCAUAGAAAAAUCAUAACCCUUGCAUUUCAUCAAGAUAAGUUGAAGGUAUAGAAUAGUAAUGGGUACUCAAGACUUUAAAGAAAACAUCAUACUUAAGCCUAUGCUUUUCUGAUUUAGAAAUAAUUGGAUGCAGAAUAUGUUGCCAGCAUUUUAUCAAAGUUGUAGUGACAUGUUUAAGCAAAUGGGAGAAGAUGGUGUGUACAGAAGGAUACAUUGAGUUAGAUGUGUCGCCUUAUCUCGUAGAUUUGACAAGAGAUGUUAUUUCCCGAUCUGCUUUUGGAAGCAGCUUCGAAGAAGGCAAACGAAUUUUCCAAUUACUAGAGGACCAACUCGUUCUCACAAUCAAAUUAAUACAAACUGUUUACAUUCCAGGAUGGAGGUAACCGUCUACUUUAAUUUACUUGAAAAAGGUUGCAAAUGUUGGAAUUGGCUAAAUUCGUGUUUGUUUUCUUGAAGGUUUUUGCCCACAAAGACAAACAGGGAGGUGAAGAUGAAACACAAAGACAUAAAAGAGUCGCUCAGGGAAAUGAUAAAAAGAAGAAAGCAGGCAAUUAAAGCAGGGGAAGAGAGUAAUGAGGACUUGUUGGACAUACUUGUGGAAUCCAAUAUCAGAGAAAUGGAAGCAAAGAAUAUGGGGAUGAGCAUUGAGGAUGUGAUUGAGGAAUGCAAGCUGUUUUACUUAGCUGGCCAGGAGACCACUUCGGUCUUACUGGUGUGGACUAUGGUUUUAUUAGCAAGGUAUCCCGAUUGGCAAAGUAAAGCAAGAGAGGAGGUUUUGCAUGUUUUGGGUGACAGUAAACCUGAUGCUGAUGGCCUUAAUCGUCUCAAAGUUGUAAGUCCCUAGCAUGUCUCUUGAAGGCCCGAUCUCUGAGGUCGACAACUCAAAAACUUGGUUCUUUGUUUCGCUAAUUCUACAGUUAACAAUGAUAUUGUACGAGGUUCUAAGGCUGUACCCACCAGUGAUUGAGCUAGGACGUUCCGUUCCAAAAGAAAUAAAACUGGGAAAUUUGUUGUUACCAGCAGGAACAGACGUUUCGGUUCCAAUCCUGCAGAUCCACCAUGACAAAGAUCUUUGGGGCGACGCCGCACGGGAAUUUAAGCCACAGCGGUUCACGGAAGGGGUUUCCUAAGCAACAAAGAGUCAAGUCACGUUUCUGCCAUUCGGAUGGGGUCCUAGGAUCUGCAUUGGCCAAAACUUUGCCAUGAUGGAAGCUAAAAUGGCGAUGGCUAUGAUUCUCCAACGCUUCUGGUUUGAGCUUUCCCCUUCCUAUGCUUACUCUCCUUACAACAUGGCAACUCUUCGUCCACAGCAUGGUGCACAGAUAAUUUUACAUAAACUUGGCUGUAAUUGAAUUGUUAUGUAAGCAAAUCUUUGUGAAAAUAUAGUGUUUUAGUGUAUCGUCAACGUCUGUCUGUAAUGGUACAAUUCCGAUGCAUGAAUAGUAAAUUUUGAGAUGUUUGGUGAAGUCCGAAAUAAUAUGCAGAAAUUGAGUGUCUAUGGUGGACAUAGUUGAGGGACUAAUGUGGUAAUUAUCAAUCAAAUAAUUCGGUACAAAGACUUAUAUGGAAAUUAAAGCAGGGGGAGUUGAAAAUGACUACUCUGCUUUGGGCAUCAAUUUAGAAAGAUUUAAAGUACAAAUGUGUUAUUAGUUAAGGGAUUUGUUUUAAAGAGGGAAUGACAAUUAAACCUCAUGGUUGAUUUGUGGAAGGGAACCAAUGAUGGGAUGAUUACUCUUAGUGGUGAAAAAAAAACUAUUAAGGUGGUUAUUAUAGUUGUUAUCACCAGCCUAAAAUUUGAAUAGGUUCAGGUCGGAUUAUAUUGAGCUUGCAAGAUUAGUUCACGGACCAAACUUGCAUGAUAAUAGGUAUUCACAACAAGAUAUCUAUAGUUUCCAACAAAGUCACAUGUGAGAUCGUGCAUUAGAACCGCAUAAACAUGUUUUAUGUUUAGAAUAUGAUAUGUGUCUAUGUGUAUAGAAUCUACCUAAUAUAUCAUAUUAAUGAAUAGUAUCAAUUGCGGAGCCAAAAAAUUAUUUGUGAGGGGUCAGAAUUAAAUUGUAUAUUUUUACAAAAAUAAAAAUUAAAUUUCACUAUUUUAAUAGUUUAUUUAUUUUUAAUUUUUAAAUGAUUAAAUUAAAUUUUAUAAAUUUUUAGGAUCAAAGUAUAAUUUUAUCAUUACUAAUUUAAAAUUUUAUAAAUUAUAAAAAGUUUAUAUGAAAAGUUUUCUAUUUUAGGGUGGCCAAAGCCCCUGUCAACUUCUGACUCGAUCACUUGCGGUUAGUUGGGUAAAGACUCAAGAAAAAUAGCGGUGUGUUUGGAUGGACGGUGCGUUUACUUGCGGUUAGUGUAAAAAUAGCGGUGGCGGUGAGAUUAGAUACUAUAGCAACACUGUAGCGUGAGACAAAAAGUAAGUUAAACGCACUGCACUGCACUUAAUCGUCUAUCUAAACUCACCAUAAGUGUCUAAAAUAUGAUUUAAGUGAAGAUACGUGGGGUAGGUGUCAUGGAAAUGUAAAAAAAAAAAAGAAUCCUACUAAUGUAUGGGAUGUGUACAAUUGAAUGCAGGAGUGAAUCAUUUGGGUAACAUUUGGACAAGAAACAUAAUGAACAAAAUGAAAGGAGAGGAAGCUAGUAAUAAAAGAUUCUUUUGGGUUAUAUAAUUUGUUUGGCAUAUAUUUUUAUAAUAUUUAAAUAUCAUUUUGGAGUUGUUGAAUUAUAAUUUAUUUUUAUGUUUUAAAACAUAAUUAUUCUAUUUUUAGAGGUCAGAGUAGAGGUGAGCAUGAGUCGGGCUACUCGGCUCGGGCUGAAGGCUUGCGCAAAAUGUGAGAGAUUUGGGUAAAAAUAUAGGCCCGAAAAAUGAGUUUAGACAAAAAAAAAUAUAAGGCCCGUUGAAAAAACAGGCUAGGCCUUGGGUAAGGCAUUUUGGCCCCAGACCCGGCCCAACCCAAAUUCACUAAGGGCACGUUUGGUUCGCUGUAUUGGAAUAGAGGCGUAAUGUAAUAGAGGCGUAAUGGAAUAGAGACGUAAUAGCAAAUCAAUUGUUUGGUUGAAUGUAAUGGAAUAGAGGCGUAAUAGUAUUCUUAUAUUUGGUUGAAUGGAAUAGAGUUGUAAUAGCAUAAGGAAAAAAGUUAAAAUGACUAGAAUACCCUUAGCAGAAAUUUGUUUAGAUAAAUGAUUAUUGUUAUUGUUAUUAAAUUUUAAUAAGAUUAUUAAUAUCAGUAAUAAAUAAUUUAAUCAUAUUUUAACAUAAUUAUUAUUAAAUAUAAUUUAAUAAAAAUAUAUAAUUUAAUAAAAUUCUUAAUAUUAAAUAUUCUUAAUAUUAAAUUACUAAAAUCAUAAUAUAUAAUACUAUAAAAUAUAAUUUAACAUAAUUAUUAUUAAAUAUAAUUUAAUAAAAUUCUCAAUAUUAAAUAUAUUCUUAUAUGAAUUUACUAAAAUCAUAAUAUAUAAUACUAUAAAAUAUAAUUUAAAAUAAUUAUUAUUAAAUAUAAUUUAAUAAAAAUAUAUAAUUUAAUCUAAAGUUUGAAUGUGUAUUUACCUAGCAAAAAUCAAUGAACUCUCGUGUAACUAUAACCUUAAUAAUAUAUGAUGUAUAAUUAAUAUUUCGUGACUAAUUAAUAGCAUAGAGAUAAAUAUAGUAAUGACGAAUUUAUAGUAUACGAUUAAAAUGCUAAUAAUUUAUAGUAUACAAUUAAAAUAUUAUAAAUAAAAUAAUAGUAAAUGAUAUAUAAGAUAAAUUAACAUAUAAAUAAUUCAGAUAUGUAAAGGAUAUGGCUGAAUAUGGUUGCUCCAAUAAUAAAGGAUAUAUAAUAUAUCAUGGUGUUGUUUUGUUUAGAUAGUUCGGUAACUUAGGAGGGUAUGUAUGAAGAACACAAGUUGAUGCAGAUAGAAAGACGACAAUAUUACAUGAUUACAAUAUGAUAUAGUAUAUAUAUAUAAUUUAUGGAUUCCUUGCAAUCACGUGGGUUCUCUAGCCAUUUUAUUUAGCAUAUCCAGUGAUAUUAAGAUCCAGAAUUAUAAUACAACUAAAAUCUGUGCACACUUAUGGAUGAUCCAACAAAGCCUCAGUUGGCUUUAGGUUCCAAAUCUUGCAACCCACAAACCAUAUUUGCUGGCACUGCAACAUCAAUCAUCUUAGGAUAUGCCAAGUUAAGAUCUGUUGCACCAACAAAAACAGAGGAGAAAUUGGAAGGCGAUCCGAAAAAACCCAAGGAUGCUUUUUCUUUUCUUUUUUUUUUAUAAUCUUUAUAGACUGGUUAUAUUGAGCAUCAACUUACUUUCCAUGAUGUUUUUGAAAGUCUCUUACAAAAAGGGUAUUCAACAAAUAAUAUAAUCAGACAUAUUGAUAGGACAAAUUGAAACUAGUAUUCUAUGAUCAUAAUAAAGAGUAAUCUUUAAUCAAAUGCGUGAAGGUAUUGAGAUGUCAUGCUUUUUCAUGAUUUCCUGUUUUACCAUGGCGAUGUUCAUUGGAAUAGUCCCAUCCAAGAGAAUCAAACCAAUGCUCAGCAAGAAAUGUUCAAUGCAUAUGUAAUUUUAAUUACAGAAGUUAUAUGCAGCUUAUAUGAGUUCAAGAUCAUAAAAUACUUCAUGGACAAAAGGAAACCCUUUCUUAUCACUGAAAUGAAAAUAGGCACUCUUAAUUUUCUAUUGUCAAAAGUAGCAAGCCAUUUUCCAAAGAAAAGGGAAGAUGGAUGGUUCCAGAAAGAAUACCUCAUCCUUUGUCAAGUGUGGAUUAUAUAGCAUCUCCUCUCCCACAGUGGUUACCUAUAAUCAAUGAGGUUUAUAAAAUCGAGCAAUCAUUUAUAUAUGUAAGAAAUGAUAGGAAUAAAGUUUUAUAUCUUACUGAGAAUCCUUUGUAGUCAUGAGCUGGAUAUAGCAAUGUCUCUUUCGGUAAUGUAAAAAUCUGGAUCCAUGAAACAAAUAAGUCCAUAAAUUUUAUUCAAAUUUUGACAAUUACAAUAAAAUUUUGAGAACUCAAAGAAUGUGACCAUAAAAAGUCCCCUGUCCUUACCUGUGAAUGCACUGACUUGUAGAGUUGCUGUGAACUUCCACCCUGCAAAAUGCAUUAAUCAGUGCUAGUCAAUGGCUACUGAAUGUGGGAGCAUUAGAGAAAAUUAUCUUAAAAACUUAAGUAUAACAAAAUUAGACAAUGACAUCCAGAUGGAAAGAAAUUGCCAGCAUAUAAGACCAGCAUUUAUGUACUCACGACUGAAAAUCCUUUGCAAAAAGUAUAGCCCUGAUAGUUCAAACUUUUACUUCAAGGAUGAUUUAAUUACUGAUUAGUUUGCCAUGAGGCUUGUGAAUGACAAACACUUUAUGUGCAACCACAGUAACAAGGUAAGCACCAAUAAGUAGAAGACUAGACGAAUAGGUAACCAAGAGUUAGAGCUAAAACAGACAAACAGAGCUACUAUCCAAUGAGCUAAAACAUACAAACAGAGGUAUAUUUUAAUAAUGAAAAUAAUCGAUUGCCUUAAACACCAUAUAGUGUUCCAAUCAAUCAAAUUAUAGCAGGCAUUAAAACCUUUCCCUUUCGUUAAUUCACAACUAUUAGCUUCAUUAAUCAAAUCCUAUGUACAGUUGAUCGAUUGAAAGUGUAACAUUUCAAAGACGAAAUUUAAACGCAAAACUGGUUAACAUUGAAAUUACAUGUAAAUAUAACCUAAAAAAUCAAAAAAUUAAUCAUAUUUUCAGAUUUCAGGCCGAAAUGGAAUGAAAUGAAAGGUAAAUCCAUUUUUUCCCCAAAAAAACAAAAAUAAAGAAAUAAUAUUUCAAGAACAGAUCAUUAAAUUCAUGGUAUAUAUAAAGAAAUUUAAUUGAAAUCAAAGGAAUAGAAGAAGGGAAAAGCGUACUUGGAACCAUUGCUGCUACUCUCUGUUACUCUGUUACCUCAUACGAUUCGUUAAAGGGUUGUUAGGGUUUGUUAAAAGGUUGGUCAGGAUAGAAGCAUGAAAAGGAGGGAGAAGGUUGGAAGGAAAUGGGAAGAAAAAUGAAAAAAAGAAGAAGAUGCUGCAACGGCUUGGAGGGUAAAAGAGGACCGAUUAGGUAAUCCUUUCUUUUGGAAGGGAUUACAAAUCGGCGCUGCAUAAGGGAAAAUGGGGAAUCAGUGCGCUGCGUAAUAGGCCCGUAUUAAGGCAAUACAGCCAACCAAACAUGGUAAUCAGUGGGGCCACGAAUUAGGGGUGUAUUGGCUAAUCCAAUACACCCAACCAAACAUGCUCUAAAGGACAAAAAAAUUUGAUUUUUUAAAUAUUAUUUUCUCUCUAUUUUGCUAUCAUUUUACUAUUAUGUUGCUACUAUGUUAUUGUUAUUUUUGAAUAUUGUAUAAAACUUAUUUUAUUGUUAAUUUUGUUAUUAUUUUAAAGACAUUUGUUAAUUUUGUUAUUAUUUUAGAGACAUUUGUUUGUUAAGUUGCAUCUAUCUUAGUGUUAUUUAAGUAUACAUAUUUUUUAAAAUUUAUUUUCAAUUUAUUGGGAAAUAUUUAUUUUGAUGUUUUUAGUAUUUUGGAUGUAUUAUAUAUAUUAAAAUUAUAUAAAAAUUAAUAUGGCCGAGCCAGGUCAGGCCCAGAUUUUAGCAUUUUUAUUCAGGUCGGGCUUGAGCAAAAUUUUAAGCCCAUUUUUUGGGCCAAACCAGGCCUGGGCUUAGCAAAUGGGCCUAAAUUUUUAGUCAAGCUCGACCUAAACCCGAUCCGGCCCAUGCUCACCUCUAGAUCAGAGCUGCCCUCGCUUUGCAUUUCUUUGAGAUUCAGUCUUAUCUACUGUUGAUUGCCCACUCAAUGGAGGGUUGAGUAGAAAGAUUUGGUGAAGCAAGCUAAGCUAUCAAUCAAGGUUGGAGAAAGCUUAGGAGGUCACAAUGCAUAAUUAUUUAAAUGUAAUUCUAAUAUUUAAAUAAAAUUUAUUAAUAUAGUAUUAACAAGCCCUAAAUGUAAUGAUUAUAUACUAUUACAUUUUUAAGAAGAGAAAACAUGUUUGAACCUUAAAAACAUCAUUAUUAAAAAUGAUAAUUACAAAUUUUAAAAUAUAAAAAAUAUAAUUAAAAAUUAAUUUUAAACCCGAGCUGGAUAAAAUUCUAAUUUUAGAUAACGAUACUAAUAAGAAAUCAAUAUUAAAAUGAAAAUGAAAAGUAAUUUAAUAUAAUUUUUGAGUCUUGGGCAAAGGCACUCAAUGAAUGCUUGGAAAGAAAUAAUGCAACUUGGUGAUAGCUUUUGUUGGAGUAAUAUGCUCUUAUUAUAGUUUUAUGUUUUUAUCUUGCAAAAACAACAUAUUGGAGUUUUCGGCAUGAUUUUUUCUUAAUACUUUACAUGAAAAAUAAUAAUGGGACUUAAAUUGCUACAAUAUUACAACACAAAGUUACAAUAAGAGCUUAUAACUCAACAAAGGCUAUCAAUAAAUAAUCUCAGGCAAGCUAAAGAGAAAUGUUGAGAAUACCACCCGAAUAGUGACUGACUUUAAAAGUUGAAAACCCGAAGCUAUAUUAUCUCAAACGAAAUCAAACCAUAAACAUUAAAAUUUUCAAGUCUACUAGUUACUGUAAAAAAUUCAGCUCCAACAGACACCAAAUGAGCCUUUGAUCGAAGAAAGUACGAAAAAUAGUCUAGGUAAACCAAGCUUCCAAACUUACUUAUCUUAUCUUUAAUUUGCAGUGAAAUUCAAAAUUAAGAUUUUGUUUAUUUCACUUGGAACAACUUUCAAAAAAUUAUUUUUGAAAAAUGAAUUGGUUUUUCGAAAUAGAUGAUAUUUUAUUGUGUCAAAAUUUUAUUCAUUGUAGGAAAACUUUUUUUAAAUCAUUUUCUUAGAGUUAUUUUUAGUUAAAUAAACAUAACAUAAAUAUAUUUGUUACAAAAAAUUAUACUAGUAUUUUCUUUUGACAAUUAAAAUUUAUUUUAUGGUAAGACAAUAUUUUAUAAUAAUUAAUAUCAUAUAUAUACGUAAUAAAAAUCAUGUUUAAUUAAAAUUUAAUUAAAAUUAGAUGUAUUAAUAAAGCUACUCCUCCACAACCCGCAUCCGCAACAGCACCAGCACCAGCACCAGCACCAGCAUCAGCACCAUGGGACAACUAUUGGGUUUCCUCCACCUGCCUCUAUCGCUCCUCCUCAGUAUUACCCCCAAGCCUACCAGACCGUGCCGGGUAUUCUACAAAUAUGAAAAAACCUUCUUCUCUUUUUAUUAGCUUAUCGAAAUGAAGGAUUUUGAGAUUUGGGCUUUUGUUAGAUGGAUGGUUAAUGAUAUUUUUUAGAUGAAAGAUACAAGUUUUUUAAUGUUUUAGAAGAAAAGGUGUUUAAAUAUUAGGAGUUUUUUAGCAGAGAAAGAAGAUAAAUAAAUGCAUAGAGAUACAUUAGCAAUAUUAUUUGGAUUUGGUUGUCUAAUGUAAUGAAGAAUUUUUUAAGGGUGACCUGAGUAGGUGUGGCAAGAUUCAAAGUUUUUUCUAUUAUAGCAGAUAUAUAUAUAUUAAUGGUUUAAGAAGACUAGAAGUCGGUUUCAAAGGAAGAUGAGAAAUAAAAGCAUUUAUAUAUAUGAUAUGUCAUUAAUUCAUAAACCAAAUAUAUAAAGUAUGUAAAAGUGUCAGGGGUUAAUCAUGGUGUUUUGACAAUCCGGUAACCUUCAACUUGAAGAAAACCUUAGGUUUCAAAAAUUUAUGUGAAGAGUUAGAAUGGUAUGCUUCAUGGAUCUGAAUAACUAGAACAGUGUAAGAGUGGUAUAUUGUGUCAAGUUUGGUUUCUUGUAUAUAAUUGUAUCGAAAACAAUGUUACAUGAGUUAAAAUGAAUGUUCAUCCAAUUUAACAAAGCCUGCAUUAUGUUGAUCAAAAUUUUUAAUUCAUGUUGAGGUUUCUUCCGUGAUAUCUUUGAUGUCAAGGUUAUGAUGUUGCUGAAGGGACACCUGUAAGAGAUAAGCCACCGUGCUGUGGCAUUGGAUUCGGAUGGUUCUUGUAAGUGUACAUAGUUUUCUUUGUUUUUAAAGAGUUCUUUACAUAUGAAGUAAAACAAGUAGCGACUUGAUGGAUAUGUCAUUAAGCUUUAACUUAAGCAAAUCAUUUUCCUUCAUCUCUAAUUGCCAUUUCUUUAAAAGAAAAAGAGGAAGUUUUGUAGUUUACAGUUUGGACAAAUGGAAGUUAAUAUAAUGCACUAUUUGGAUGGACUAUGGAGAUAUCCAAUCAUAUUGGAUGAGUUAUAAGAAACCUGUGAGUUCAUAUUGGGUUUACUUUAUAUCAUAAUUAGAUUGUUGAGCUGGCUGUCAUACUUAGAUGGUAUUUCACGUUGCUACUUGUUAAACUAUACCACUUUCACAUUCAUACGUGAAAUGGCUGGGAUUUAGUGCCAUUCUACUUAGCAGCCUCGUGUAAUACACAGGUGAAAUGUUUAUGUCUUCAUGUCACCUUAAAGUUCCCAUUUCCAUGACGGUAUUGUUAAGUAAAGACUGGUACAUACCCCAAAAUACGGAAAUUGUUUUGGAUGUAUACUAUACUUUACCAUGCAUGAUUUUUUACAAGUUUGCAUGGUAUUUUAUCAUUAUAUUGGUCUUUAUUUUCUAUACUCGCAGCUUCCAUUAAUAUAUUUUUAUGAAUUUUAUCAUUAUGCUGGUUUGAAGGUUCAUCAUUGGUUUCUUCAUUGGGGGCCAUCCCUGGUAUAUUGGAUUCUUUGUUUUACUUUGUGCAAGGAUAGACGACAGAGAGAAAGCAGGAUAUAUUGCAUGCACAAUUGCCGUGAGUAUCUUUUCUAUCAUUAUUUUUUUCUUUUCCAAUUUUAUGAAAGCCAUCCUUCCUGCCUUGUAUUGAUCAUCAAUUUAACCAUUAUAUAUAUGUAUCUUAUGUAUUUGUACCAUGCUUUAUCUUCAAUGCAAAUAUAAGUUAAACUACAAAGAUUGGAUUGUUAAAAAAAGUUUAAAAUGUUAAAAAAAUUGAAAAUUUUGAUUUUGUAAGAAUGAUAGAAAACCAAGGCCAGUGCUUGCAUAUGUUAUCUACUACAUGCACAAUCGGGUCGAUGUCUGUAUAUGUUUCAUGUUUAGAAAUCGUGUUCAAUUGGGUUACGAUAUGUACAAUUGAAGUGUCAAUUUAUAAUUUCCUUAUCAAGAUUACACAUUUUUUUGUUAAUAUUCGGAAUCACUCAAUGGUUAUAAACCCUGAUUGGAUACUGUCCACAAAGUCUAGUUGGAACAUCCCUUGUAUUCUUUGUCCUUUCUAAGAACUUUCCUUUCCAUCAUUCUCGCUUCUGUUUUUUUUUUCUUCCCUCUACUUUAAGUCAUUAUCUAACGUAGAUAUCCCUUGUAUUCUUUGUCCUUUCUAUGGCAAUCGAGUCAAUUGAUGGCAAGCCAAAAAAACAAAAAGAGCAGCUAUCCUGUCUUACUCGAUUGCCAUCCCUCCUGUUAAACACCAUUAAGAAAAGGAAAAUUUUAGUUAAGCUUUAAAACAGCCAUGUUUUAACGAUGUUGGUGAUGGUGCUUGUGCAGGCCCUUCUUGCUACAAUUACAAUUAUUCUUAGUGCAACAAUUAAAGCUGGUGGGUGAUAAAGCACACCUCUUUUGACUGAGAGAUGUAUAGGUUCCCAAAUAAUAUGUAUAUGCUCCCCCCCCUCCCUUUAUUUUAUUUUAUUUCCAGUAAGUUAUUGUUUAUGAUAAUUUGCAACAAAUGUUUUUGUCAUUAUUUUGUUGGUGAAUGAUAAUAAGAUUAAGCUUUACUUUCUUAAGCUCCAAUUCCUUGGACGUUGGUGAUUUUUUUAUUAUAGUUGAGUCAUUGUAUGGUAUUAAUAUAAUUUAUGUCGCUUAAAAUUUAUAACUAAAAAUAUAAAAUUUAAAUUUUACUUCAAUUUAUUUGUAUUUAUAAAUGGUUAAUUCAAACUUAUUUUUUUCCUCAUUAUAUUUUAUAUUUAAAUUAACAUUUAAACUAUUUUUCAUUAGCAAUGUUGUUAAGAAUUAUAUUUUUUAGCACCAACAUCAAACUUACUAAAAUUAAAUUUUUAACUAUUUAAAAAAAAUAUUUUUAGCUAUUUAUCAUCAUAGAGAAAAAAAGGUGACGUCACCACGCCUCAUGCUUCGACACCACAAACUAGACUCUCAUCACCCGUAUUUAUCAUCGAUUCAAAUUCCAGAACUACCUAAAAAUAUAUCUUCAAACUUCCUCUGGUUAAGUUCAUUGAUAGUCAACUUACUAUCAUUUCUAAAAAAAAAACAAAUAAAUUGGUUAAUAGUAAUCUCAAUGAUUCAAUUUUAUUCUUACCAGUAUCUGUCCUUUAGAAAGGGGCUUAUAAAAGGGGUAGAGGUGAGUAAACUUGAGCUUCAGCUUUCCACAAACACCUUAAUUUGAAGACACAGUUCUCUCAUACUAAAAAAGACAUGGAAGUUUACCUUGUAAUUAGAGAUUUGGUUUCAUUGCUUGUUGUUGGGUUAUUAAUGAUAUGGGGAUGCAGAACUUUAAACUGGGUAUGGCUGGCCCCAAAAAGGCUCGAAAGCUGCUUGAGACAACAGGGUUUUGCAGGGAAUCCUUACAGGUUCCUUUCUGGUGACAUAAAAGAGCUCUCAACUAUGAGCAGACAAACAAGAGCCAAACCUAUGCCUCUUAGUGAUGAUAUUGGGCCUUAUGUUGUUCCUUUUCAACAUCAAACUGCUAACCAGUAUGGUAUGUUUUUUUUGUUUAAUCUGCAAUUUAUGAUAAUUCUUUGUUAUUUAUGUAUGGAAUUUAUUGGGAGGAAAUGCAGGAAAGAAUUCAUUUACGUGGUUUGGUCCAAGACCAAGGGUGAACAUUACGGACCCUGAAAAAAUAAGAGAAAUACUUAACAAAUUUAAUGACUUCCAGAAGAUACAUACCAAUCCACUGCUUAAUUUGCUUGUAAGCGGCCUUGCUAACCUCGACGGAGACCGAUGGAGCAAGCGUAGAAAAAUCAUAAACCCUGCAUUUCAUCAAGAUAAGUUGAAGGUAUAGAAUAGUGAUGGGUAAUCAGACUUUACAGAAAACAUCAUACUUAAACCUAUGCUUUUCUGAUUUAGAAAUAAUUGGAUGCAGAAUAUGUUGCCAGCAUUUUAUCAAAGUUGUAGUGACAUGUUAAGCAAAUGGGAGAAGAUGGUGUGUACAAAAGGAUACAGUGAGUUAGAUGUGUGGCCUUAUCUCGUAGAUUUGACAAGAGAUGUGAUUUCCCGAUCUGCUUUUGGAAGCAGCUUCGAAGAAGGCAAACGAAUUUUCCAAUUACUAGAGGACCAACUCGUUCACAUAAUCAAAUUAAUACAAACUGUUUACAUUCCAGGAUGGAGGUAACCGUCAACUUAAUUUACUUGAAAAAGGUUGCAAAUGUUGGAAUUCGCUAAAUUCGUGUUUGUUUUCUUGAAGGUUUUUGCCAACGAAGACAAACAGGGAGAUGAAGAUGAAACACAGGGACAUAAAAGAGUUGCUUAUGGAAAUGAUAAAGAGAAGGGAGAAGGCAAUUAAAGCAGGGGAAGAGAGCAAUGAGGACUUGUUGGACAUACUUGUGGAAUCCAAUAUCAGAGAAAUGGAAGCAAAGAAUAUUGGGAUGAGCAUUGAGGAUGUGAUUGAGGAAUGCAAGCUGUUUUACUUAGCUGGCCAAGAGACCACUUCGGUCUUACUGGUGUGGACUAUGGUUUUAUUAGCAAGGUAUCCCGAUUGGCAAAGUAAAGCAAGAGAGGAGGUUUUGCAUGUUUUGGGUGACAGUAAACCUGACGCUGAUGGCCUUAAUCGUCUCAAAGUUGUAAGUCCCUAGCAUGUCUUUUGAAGGUCCGAUCAAUGAGGUCGACAACUCAAAAACUUUGUUUCUUUUUUCGCUAAUUCUACAGGUAACAAUGAUAUUGUACGAGGUUCUAAGGCUGUACCCACCGGUGGUUGAGCUAGAACGUUCCGUUCCAAAAGAAAUAAAACUGGGGAAUUUGUUGUUACCAGUAGGAACAGAAGUUUCGGUUCCGAUCCUGCUGAUCCACCAUGACAAAGAUCUUUGGGGCGAUGACGCACGGGAAUUUAAGCCAGAGCGGUUCGCGGAAGGGGUUUCCAAAGCAACAAAGAGUCAAGUCACGUUUCUGCCAUUCGGAUGGGGUCCUAGGAUCUGUAUUGGCCAAAAUUUUGCUAUGAUGGAAGCCAAAAUGGCGAUGGCUAUGAUUCUCCAACGCUUCUGGUUCGAGCUUUCCCCUUCCUAUGCUCACUCUCCUUACGGCAGGGCAACUCUUCGUCCACAGCAUGGUGCACAGAUAAUUUUACAUAAACUUGGCUGUAAUUGAAUUGUUAUGUAAACAAAUCUUUGUGAAAACAUAGCGUUUUAGUUUAUCGUCAAAGUCCGGUGUCUGUAAUGGUACAAAUUCGAUGCAUGAAUAGUAAAGUUUGAGAUGUUUGGUGAAGUCCGAAAUAAUAUGCAGAAAUUGAGUGUGGUAAUUAUCAAUCAAAUAAUUCGGUACAAAGACUUACAUGGAAAUUAAAGCAGGGGGAGUUGAAAAUGACUACUCUGCUUUGGGCAUCAAUUUAGAAAGAUUUAAAGUACAAAUGUGUUAUUAGUUAAGGGAUUUGUUUUAAAGAGGGAAUGACAAUUAAACCUCAUGGUUGAUUUGUGGAAGGGAACCGAUGAUGGGAUGAUUAUUCUUAGUGGUAAAAAAAACUAUUGUGGAGGUUAUUAUACUUGUUAUCAUCGGCUUAAAAUUCGAAUGGGUUCAAGUCGGAUUAUAUCGAGCUUGUAAGAUGAGUUCACGGAUCAAAUUUGCAUAAUAAAAAUACUUAAAUGAAAAAAAUUUCUAUUUUAGAGGGACCAGAGCCCCUACCAAUUCCCGGCUCAGCUACUAAACAAUACCCAUAUCAUAUAAAUAAAUACCACCAUAAAAAAAACUCAAAGAAAAACACUGACAAAUGAUAAAUAGAUAGAUGUUGGAUAAGUGUCCAAAAUAUGAUUUAAGUGAAGAUACAUGGGGUAGGUGUCACGGAAAUGUGAAUACAAGAAUACUACUAAUGGGAUGUGUACAGUUGAAUGUAGGGAGCAAAAAGAGGAGUGAAUCAUUUUGGUAACAUUGGGACAAGAAACAUAAUGAACAAAAUGGAAGGAGAGGAAGCUAGUAAAAGAAAUUUUUUGGGUCAUAUAAUUUGUUUGGCAUAUAUUUUUAUAAUUUUUAAAUAUCAUUUUGGACUUGAAUUAUAAUUUUUUUAUAUAUUAUCUUAAAAUUGUAUAAAUUUUAAGGAGUUAAAACAAAAUUAUUCUAUUUUUAGAUGGUUAAAGUAGAGAUGAUAAUGGGUUGAGCUAUUCGGCCCAGCCUGACGAUCCACCCGAAAAAUAGGAAGGUUUGGGUAAAAAUAUAGGCUUGAAAUAUGAAUUUGAGCAAAAAAAGAGGCCCGUUUAGAAAAUGGGCCGAGCCUCGGGUAAAACCUUUUGGGUCUAGACCUGACCUAAAUUAUAUAUUAAAUAUAUAUAUUUUUAUUUUUAAUCAAAUAUACUUUUGUUUUAUUAUUAAUUUGGUUAUUAUUUUAGUUCUAAUUUGUUUCAAUUUUAAUAUAACUACUUUUUAUUAUAUUUUCAAUUUGUGCAUUGUUUUAAGAAUUAUUUUAGUCUCAUUAUUUAUUUAUUUUUUAUUUUAAUAUUUGUUUUAAAAUUUUUUAUUUAUUGAAAUAAGCUAAAAAAAUUAAUAUGGGUUGGACCAGACCGGGCUCGGGCCUAGUAAUUUUCUUUUGGGCCGGACUUAAACAAAUUUUUAAGCCCAUAUUUUGAAUUGGGUCCUACACUAGAAAAUGGACCUAAAAUUUUGUAUUACCUUUAGGUCAGAGCUAUCCUCGUUUUGCAUUUCUUUGAGAUUCAGCCUUAUUUACUUUUGAUUGCCCACUCAAUAGAGGGUUGAGUAGAAAUAUUUGGUGAAGCAAGCUAAGCUAUCAAUCAAGGUGUGCAUAAUUAUUUAAAUGUAAUUCUAAUAUUAAAAUAAAAUUUUUAUUAAUAUAGUAUCAACAAGCAUUAAAUGUAAUCAUCAUAUACUAUUAAAUUUUCAAUAAGAGAAAACAAGCUUGAACUUUAAAAACGAUGUUACUAAAAACAUUAUCACAAAUCUUGAAAUAUAAAAAAUACUUUUUAAUAUAAUAAAAAAAUAAUUUUAAAACCGAGAUGAAUAAAAUUCUAAUUUUAAUUAAUGAUACCAACAACAAAUCAAUAUUUAAAUUAAAAUUUAUCUUAAUUUAAUAUAAUAAAAUUGGACUUGAAUAUUGAAUUUUUGAGUCUUGGGCAAAGUAGAGGUGCUCAUGGGCCGGGUUGGGUCGGGUUUGGGAAAAAUUUCGGCCCGCAUCCUAGGCUCGGGCUCGGCCCGACCCAAAUAUGGGCCUAAAAUUUUGUCUAGGCCUAGCCCGGCCCGGCCCAACUCAUUUUUUUUAAUAAACACCAAAAAUUUAUUUUGAAAAUAAAAAAAUAAAAAAAGUAUUUUAAAAAUAUUUUAAAAUUUUUAAAAAAUAUAUAUAUUUAUUAUAUAUUCGGGCCGGGCCAGGCCCGAGCCAAAAAAGUGGCGCCCAAGGCCCGGCCUGUUUUCUAAACGGGACUCAUUUUUUACCCAAACCCAUAUUUCGGGCCUAUAUUUCUACCCGAAUCUCUCAUAUUUAGGGCGAACCGUCGGGCCGGACCGGGCCGCCCGGCCAUGAACACCUCUAGGACAAAGUCACUCAAUGAAUGCAUGGAAAGAAAUAAUGCAACUUGGUGAUAGCUUUUGUUGGAGUUAUAUGCUUUUUUUUUACGUAGUGGAACUUUCGGUGGAUUUUCAAGUUUCAUGAACUUUAUACUCUAUGCUUUACGUGAAAAAAAAAAUUCAUUGGACUUAAAAGUCUACCAAAAGUUUCACUAAAAAAAAAACCAUUGCUACAAGAUUACAACAUAAAGUUACAAUAAGAGCUUAUAACUCAACAAAGGCUAUCAAUAAAUAAUCUCAAACAAAUUAAAGAGAAAUGUUGAGAGUACCACUCGAAUAGUGAUUAACUUUAAAAAUUGAAAACCCAAAGUUAUAAUAUCCCAAACGAAAUCAAACCAUAAACAUUAAAUUUUUCGAGUCUACUAGAUACUGCAAAAAAUUCAGCUCCAACAGACACCAAAUGAACCUAUGAUCGAAGAAAAUACGAAAACUAGUCUAGCUAAAUCAAGCUGCCAAACUUACUUUUUAUCUUAUCUUUAAUUUGCUGUGAAAUUCAAAACUAAGGUUUUGUACUUAGAACAACUUUCAAAAAGUUAAUUUUGAAAAAUGGAUUGAAUUUUCAAAAUAGAUGAUAUUUUAUUGUGUUAAAAUUUUAUUCGUUGUUUGAAAAAAAAUUUAAAUCAUUUUCUUAGAAUUAUUUUUAGUGAAACAAACAUAUCAUAAAUAUAUUUGUUAUAAAAUAUUUAUAUUAAUAUUUUCUUUUAACAAUUAAAAUAUAUUUUGUGAUAAGGUAUAUUUUAUAAUAAUUAAUAUCAUAUAUACUUAAUAAUAAAUCAUGUCUAAUUAAAAUUUAAUUUCAAUUAAAUAUAUUAAUAAAGCUACAUAUAAUCAUAUUUUAUAUAAUAAAAAUAUUAAUAUAAAUAUUUUUUUAAUAAUAUAUUAAAGAAUAUUUAAAAUUUAAAUUUAUUAUUACUAAGAUUAAUUAUUAAAAUAAAAAUGUAAUGUUAAAUAAUUUAUCCAAUGAUAAGUUAUAUUAAUAAUUUAUUAUAUUAUUAAAUAUAAAUAAUUAAAUAUGUAUGUUUAAUAAUAUUAUGUUAUAAUAUUUAUUAUUAAUAUUUUAAUAUUUUUAAACAACCAUGUUUUAAAGAUGGUGGUGAUGGUGAUGGUGCAGGCCCCCUUGUUACAAUUACAAUAUUUUUAAGUGGGAUGCAUGUAAUAUAUUGUUAGGGUUUUAGAGUGUGUGGUCUUUAAAAGGGUUAAAUUAUAUAUUUAUAUAAUAUGAUUAUUGUUUAUAAAUAUAAUAUUGUAGAUAAACUUUUAUGCAUGUCAAUAUGUAUCCUACUCUGGGGUUAAUAUGUAUUUUUAGAUAUGGAUUCACCUAUAUAAUAGUAUGAAUCCAUCAUGCGGUCUCAUGAAAUAUACAAACACAUAUCGUGCGAACACAAAGUACGAACAAUAAAAAGUACAAAUCAAGACCAAUUGAGUAAUUGAAUAGCAGAUAGGUAAUAAUGACUAUCCCCUCUUGUUUGAAUUUAUUUUAUUUCCAGUGAGUUAUCGUUUAUGAUAAAUUUACAACAAAUGUUUUUAUCAUUAUUUUGUUGGUAAAUGAUAAUAAGAUUAAACUUUACUUUCUUAAGCUCCUUCAAUUCUUUGGACGUUAGCAAGUAAACUUGAGCUUCAGCAUUCCACAAACACCUUAAUUUGAAGACACAGUUCUCCCAUACUAAAAACAACAUGGACGUUUACCUUGUAAUUAGAGAUUUGGGCUCAUUGUUAGGUUAUUAAUGAUACGGGGAUGGAGAGCUUUAAACUGGGUAUGGCUGGCCCCAAAGAGGCUCGAAACGUGCUUGAGACUAGAGGUCCAGGCAAAUUUUUAGGCCCAUUUUUUAGGCCUGGACUGGGCCCGACUCGAAAUAUGAGCUUAAAAAUUUGUCUAAGUUCGGUCCAAAAGAAAAUUGUUAAGCCUAAGCCCGGCCCAUAUUAAAUUUUACAACACCAAAAAACUAUAUAUUUAAUAUAUAUAUUUGAUUAAAAAGUAUAUUUAAUUAAAAAUAAAAAUAUAUAUUUAAUAUAUAAUUCGGGCCGGGCCGAACUCGGGCCAAAAAAGUUUUACUCGGGGCUGGUCCGUUUUCUAAACAGACCUCGUUUUUUUGUCAAAAUCCAUAUUUUAGGCUUAUAUUUUUACCCGAAACUUCCUAUUUUUCGGGUGAACCGUCAGGCCGGACUAGGUAGCCCAACCAAUGAUCACCUCUACUUGAGACAACAGGGUUUUGCAGGGAAUUCUUACAGGUUCGUUUCUGGCGACAUAAAAGAGCUCUUCACUAUAAGCAUACAAACAAGAGCCAAACCUAUGCCUCUUAGUGAUGAUAUUGGGCCUUAUGUUGUUCCUUUUCAACAUCAAACCGUCAAUCAGUAUGGUAUGUUUUUUAAUUUAAUCUGCAAUUUAUGAUAAUUCUUUGCUAUUUAUGUAUGGAAUUUAUUGGGAGGAAAUGCUGGGAAGAAUUCAUUUACGUGGAUUGGUCCAAGAUCAAGGGUGAACAUUACGGACCCGGAAAAAUAAGAGAAAUACUUAACAAAUUUAAUGACUUCCAGAAGGUACGUACCAAUCCACUGCUUAAUUUGCUUGUAAGCGGCCUUGUUAACCUCGAAGGAGACCGAUGGAGCAAGCAUAGAAAAAUCAUAACCCUUCAUUUCAUCAAGAUAAGUUGAAGGUAUAGAAUAGUGAUGGGUACUUAGACUUAAUUUACAGAAAACAUCAUACUUAAAUCUAUGCUUUUCUGAUUUAGAAAUGAUUGGAUGCAGAAUAUGUUGCCAGCAUUUUAUCAAAGUUGUUGUGACAUGUUAAGCAAAUGGGAGAAGAUGGUGUGUACAGAAGGAUACAGUGAGUUAGAUGUGUGGCCUUAUCUUGUAGAUUUGACAAGAGAUGUGAUUUCCCGAUCUGCUUUUGGAAGCAGCUUCGAAGAAGGCAGACGAAUUUUCCAAUUACUAGAGGACCAACUCGUUCUCACAAUCAAAUUAAUACAAACUGUUUACAUUCCAGGAUGGAGGUAACCCUCAACUUAAUUUACUUGAAAAAGGUUGCAAAUGUUGGAAUUGGCUAAAUUCGUGUUUGUUUUCUUGAAGGUUUUUGCCAACAAAGACAAACAGGGAGAUGAAGAUGAAACACAGACAUAAAAGAGUCGCUUAGGGAAAUGAUAAAGAGAAGGGAGAAGGCAAUUAAAGCAGGGGAAGAGAGCAAUGAGGACUUGUUGGACAUACUUGUGGAAUCCAAUAUCAGAGAAAUGGAAGCAAAGAAAAAGGGGAUGAGCAUUGAGGAUGUGAUUGAGGAAUGCAAGCUGUUUUACUUUGCUGGCCAGGAGACCACUUCGGUCUUGCUGGUGUGGACUAUGGUUUUAUUAGCAAGGUAUCCCGAUUGGCAAAGUAAAGCAAGAGAGGAGGUUUUGCAUGUUUUGGGUGACAGUAAACCUGAUGCUGAUGGCCUUAAUCGUCUCAAAGUUGUAAGUCCCUAGCAUGUCUCUUGAAGGUCCGAUCUCUGAGGUCGACAACUCAAAAACUUGGUUUCUUUGUUUCGCUAAUUCUACAGUUAACAAUGAUAUUGUACGAGGUUCUAAGGCUGUACCCACCAGUGAUUGAGCUAGGACGUUCCGUUCCAAAAGAAAUAAAACUGGGAAAUUUGUUGUUACCAGCAGGAACAGACGUUUCGGUUCCAAUCCUGCAGAUCCACCAUGACAAAGAUCUUUAGGGCGACGACGCACGGGAAUUUAAGCCACAGCGGUUCACGGAAGGGGUUUCCUAAGCAACAAAGAGUCAAGUCACGUUUCUGCCAUUCGGAUGGGGUCCUAGGAUCUGCAUUGGCCAAAACUUUGCCAUGAUGGGAACCAAAAUGGCGAUGGCUAUGAUUCUCCAACGCUUCUGGUUCGAGCUUUCCUCUUCCUAUGCUUACUCUCCUUACAACAUGGCAACUCUUCGUCCACAGCAUGGUGCACAGAUAAUUUUACAAAAACUUGGCUGUAAUUGAAUUGUUAUGUAAACAAAUCUUUGUGAAAAUAUAGUGUUUUAGUGUAUCGUCAAAGUCUGCCUGUAAUGGUACAAUUCCGAUGCAUGAAUAGUAAAUCUUGAGAUGUUUGGUGAAGUCCGAAAUAAUAUGCAGAAAUUGAGUGUCUUGAAUGGAUGUAGUAUUUAAUGGUGGACAUAGUUGAGGGACUAAUGUGGUAAUUAUCAAACAAAUAAUUGCAUAUGGUACAAAGACUUGUAUGGAAAUUAGAGCAGGGCGAGUUGAAAAUUACUACUUUGCUUCGGGCAUCAAUUUAGAAAGAUUUAAAGUACAAAUGUAUUAUUAGUUUAAGGGAUUUGUUUUAAAGAAGGAAUGACAAUUAAACCUCAUGGUUGAUGUGUGGAAGGGAACCAAUGAUGGGAUGAUUACUCUUAGUGGUAAAAAAAAAAACUAUUAAGGUGGUUAUUAUAGUUGUUAUCACCGGCCCAAAAUUCGAAUAGGUUCAGGUCGGAUUAUAUUGAGCUUGUAGAUGAGUUUGCAUGAUAAUAGGUGUUCACAGAAAGAUAUCUAUAGUUUCCUACAAAGUCACAUGUGAGAUCGUGCAUUGGGACCGCAUAAAAAUGUUUUAUGUUUAGAAUAUGAUACGUGUCUAUGUGUAUGGAAUCUACCUAAUAUAUCAUAUUAAUUAAUAGUAUCAAUUGCGGAGCCAAAAAAUUAUUUCUGAGGGGUCAGAAUUAAAUUGUAUAUUUUUACAAAAAUAAAAAUUAAAUUUCACUAUUUUAAUAGUUUAUUUCUUUUUAAUUUUUAAAUGAUUAAAUUAAAUUUUUAUAAAUUUUUGGGAUCAAAGUACAAUUUUAUCAUUUCUAAUUUAAAAUUUUAUAAAAUAUAAAAAGUUUAUAUGAAAAGUUUUCUAUUUUAGAGUGGCCAAAGCCCCUGCCAACUUCCGACUCGAUCACUAAACAAUAUAAAUAAAUAAAUACCACCAUCUAAAAGACUCAAGAAAAACACUCAACGAUAAAUAGAUAGAUGUUGGGUAAAGAUACGUUUGGAUGGGCGGUGCGUUUACUUGCGGUUAGUAUAAAAAUAGCGGUGGCGGUUAGAUUAGAUACUAUAGCAACACUGUAGCGUAAGACAAAAAAUAAGCUAAACGUACUGCACUGCACUUAAUCGCCCAUCCAAACUCACCCUAAGUGUACAAAAUAUGAUUUAAGUGAAGAUACGUAGGGUAGGUGUCAUGGAAAUGUAAAAGACAAGAAUCCCACUAAUGUAUGGGAUGUGUACAGCUGAAUGUAGGGAGCAAAGAGGAGUGAAUCAUUUUGGUAACAUUUGGACAAGAAACAUAAUGAACAAAAUGAAAGGAGAGGAAGCUAGUAAAAGAUUUUUUUGAGUUAUAUAAUUUGUUUGGCAUAUAUUUUUAUAAUUUUUAAAUAUCAUUUUGGAGUUGAAUUAUAAUUUCUUUUUAUGUUUUAAAACAUAAUUAUUCUAUCUUCAAAGGGUUAGAGUAGAGGUGAGCAUGGGUCGGGCUACUCGGCCCGAAAUGUGAGAGAUUUGGGCAAAAAUAUAGGCUCAAAAAAUGGACUUGGACAAAAAAAUAUAAGACCCGUUGAAAAAUGGGCCGGGCAUUGGGUAAGGCAUUUUUGGCCCUGGGCCCGGCCCAAUCCUAAUUCACUAAAGGACAAAAAAAAUUUGAUUUUUAAAUAUUAUUUUCUUCCUAUUUUGCUACCAUUUUACUAUUAUGUUGCUACUAUUUUGUUGUUAUUUUUUGGAUAUUGUAUAAAACUUAUUUUAUUGUUAAUUUUGUUAUUAUUUUAAAGACAUUUGUUAAUUUUGUUAUUAUUUUAGAGACAUUUGCUUGUUAAGUUGUAUCUAUCUUAGUGUUAUUUAAGUGUACAUAUUUUUUAAAAUUUAUUUUCAAUUUAUUGGGAAAUAUUUAUUUUGAUGUUUUUAGUAUUUUGGAUGUAUUAUAUAUAUUAAAAUUAUAUAAAAAUUAAUAUGGCCGAGCCGAGUCAGGCCCAGAUUUUAGCAUUUUUAUUCAGGUCGGGCUUGAGCAAAAUUUUAAGCCCAUUUUUUGGGCCAAACCAGGCCUGGGCUUAGCAAAUGGGCCUAAAUUUUUAGUCAAGCCCGACCUAAACCCGAUCCGGCCCAUGCUCACCUCUAGAUCAGAGCUGCCCUCGCUUUGCAUUUCUUUGAGAUUCAGUCUUAUCUACUGUUGAUUGCCCACUCAAUGGAGGGUUGAGUAGAAAGAUUUGGUGAAGCAAGCUAAGCUAUCAAUCAAGGUUGGAGAAAGCUUAGGAGGUCACAAUGCAUAAUUAUUUAAAUGUAAUUCUAAUAUUUAAAUAAAAUUUAUUAAUAUAGUAUUAACAAGCCCUAAAUGUAAUGAGUAUAUACUAUUACAUUUUUAAGAAGAGAAAACAUGUUUGAACCUUAAAAACAUCAUUAUUAAAAAUGAUAAUUACAAAUUUUAAAAUAUAAAAAAUAUAAUUAAAAAUUAAUUUUAAACCCGAGCUGGAUAAAAUUCUAAUUUUAGAUAACGAUACUAAUAAGAAAUCAAUAUUAAAAUGAAAAUGAAAAGUAAUUUAAUAUAAUUUUUGAGUCUUGGGCAAAGGCACUCAAUGAAUGCUUGGAAAGAAAUAAUGCAACUUGGUGAUAGCUUUUGUUGGAGUAGUAUGCUCUUAUUAUAGUUUUAUGUUUUUAUCUUGCAAAAACAACAUAUUGGAGUUUUCGGCAUGAUUUUUUCUUAAUACUUUACAUGAAAAAUAAUAAUGGGACUUAAAAAUCUAUCAAAAGCUUCACCAUAAUAAUAAUAAUAAUAAUAAUAAUAAUAAAUUGCUACAAUAUUACAACACAAAGUUACAAUAAGAGCUUAUAACUCAACAAAGGUUAUCAAUAAAUAAUCUCAGGCAAGCUAAAGAGAAAUGUUGAGAAUACCACCCGAAUAGUGACUGACUUUAAAAGUUGAAAACCCGAAGCUAUAGUAUCUCAAACGAAAUCAAACCAUUAACAUUAAAAUUUUCAAGUCUACUAGCUACUGUAAAAAAUGCAGCUCCAACAUACACCAAAUGAGUCUUUGAUCGAAGAAAGUACAAAAACUAGUCUGGGUAAACCAAGCUGCCAAACUUACUUAUCUUAUCUUUAAUUUUGCAGUGAAAUUAAAAAUUAAGUUUUUGUUUAUUUCACUUGGAACAACUUUCAAAAAAUUAUUUUUGAAAAAUGGAUUGGUUUUUCGAAAUAGAUGAUAUUUUAUUGUGUUAAAAUUUUAUUCGUUGUUGGAAAACUUUUUUUAAAUCAUUUUCUUAAAGUUAUUUUUAGUGAAACAAACAUAACAUAAAUAUAUUUGUUACAAAAAAAUUAUAUUAGUAUUUUCUUUUGACAAUUAAAAUUUAUUUUAUGAUAAGACAAUAUUUUGUAAUAAUUAAUAUCAUAUAUAUAUACGUAAUAAAAAAAUCUUGUUUAAUUAAAAUUUAAUUAAAAUUAAAUAUAUUAAUAAAGCUACAUAUAAUCAUAUUUUUUAUAAUUAAAAUAUUAAUAUAAAUAUUUUUCAAUAAUAUAUUAAAAUAUUAAAAUUUAAAUUAUUAUUACUUAAAUUAAUUAUUAAAAUAAAAAAUUUAAUAUUAAAUAAUUUAUUCAAUGAUAAGUUUUAUUAAUAAUUUAUUGUAUUAUUAAAUAUAAUUAAUUAAAUAUGCAUAUUUAAUAAUAUUACGUUAUAAUAUUUUAAUAUUCUUAAACAGCCAUGUUUUUAAGAUGCUGGUGAUGGUGAUGCUGCGGGCCUCUCUUGUUACAAUUACUAUAAUUUUUUGUGCAAUAAUUGAAGUUGUUGGGUGGUCAAGCAAACCUCUUUUGACUGAGAUGCAUAUAAUAUACCCGCAUGUCCCCGCCUCCUAAAAUUUAAAUUUGUUAUUUGAAUCUUUAAAUUUUUUAAUAUAAUAUACCCGCAUGUCCCCGCCUCCUAAAAUUUAAAUUUGUUAUUUGAAUCUUUAAAUUUUUUAAAAAUUUUAAAUUCAUAAAAGUAAAAUUAUACUUUGACCCUCUAAAAUUAUAAAAAUUUAAUUAAUCUUUUAAAUUCAUUGGGCCCCUAAUAUAUUGUUCAGGCUUCACCCUUGAUACUGAUGUUGACUAUUUUAGAGUAUGUGUCUUCUUUAACAGGGUUAAAUUAUAUAUUUAUAUAAUAUAGUUAUUGUUUAUGGACGUGACAUCGUAACUAGGUUCUUAUGCAUGUCAACAUAUAUCCUAUUUUAAGGUUAACACGUAUUUUUAAAUGUGAAUUCACCUAUAUAAUGGUAUGAACCAUCAUGCAGUCUCAUAAAAUAUGCGAAUAUAUGUCGUGCGAACACAAAGUACAAUCCACACAGAAUACGAAUUAAGACCCAAUUGAAUAAUCGGAUACGAAUCAGUAAUAAUGAAUUUCAUAACAGCCACCAACCCCUCUUUUGUUUUAAUUUAUUUUAUUUCCAGUAAGUUAUUGUUUGUGAGAAUUCACAACAAAUGCUUUUGUCAUUAUUUUGUUGGUAAAUAAUAAUAAGAUUAAACUUUACUUUCUUAAGCUCCUUCAAUUCUUUGGAAGUUGGUGGUUUUUUAUUCUAAUCUUAUUUUUUUUAUUAAUUUCUUUUUUUAUAAUAAAUGUGUUUAUAGAUCAGGUUGGAUUAUAAUUGAAUCAUUGUCUGGUAUUAACAUAAUUUAAAUCGAUUAAAAUUUAUUCGACUGGAAAUAUAAAUUUAAAAUUUUACUUCAAUUUAUCUUAAUUUAUAAAUUGUGAAUUUAAAUUUAUUUAUUUUCUCUCAUUAUAUUCAGUUUUUCGGAUCAUAUUUGGCCCAGAACAAAAACUAGAACAAAAAAACAAAUAUAUAUGUUUUCCAAAAAUUAAAUUGUUAACUUUAAAAAAAUAUAUUUUUAGCUAUUUAUCAUCAUAGAGAAAAACAAAUAAGGUCACCUCGCCUUAUGCUUCAACACCUCAACCUAGAUUCUCAUCACCUGUAUUUAUCAUCGAUUCAGAUUUUUAUUUUUACUAUAUUCUAGAUCUACCUAUAAAUAUAUCUUCAAACUUCCUCUGGUUAAGUUCAUUCAUAGAUAGGUGAGUAAACUUGAGCUUCAGCUUCAACAAACACCUUAGUUUGCAAUUCUCUCAUACUAAAAAUAUGGAAGUUUACCAUGUAAUUAGAGAUUUGGUCUCAUUGCUUGUUGUUGGUUUAUUAAUGAUAUGGGGAUGGAGAGCUUUAAACUGGGUAUGGUUGGCCCCAAAGAGGCUCGAAAGGUGCUUGAGACAACAGGGUUUUGCAGGGAAUCCUUACAGGUUCCUUUCUGGUGACAUAAAAGAGCUCUUAACUAUGAGCAGACAAACAAGAGCCAAACCUAUGCCUCUUAGUGAUGAUAUUGGGCCUUAUGUUGCUCCUUUUCUUCAUCAAACUGUCAACCAGUAUGGUAUGUUUAAUUAUUAUUUAAUCUUCAAUUUAUGAUAAUUCUUUGUUAUUUAUGAAUGGAAUUUAUUGGGAGGAAAUGCAGGAAAGAAUUCAUUUACGUGGAUUGGUCCAAGACAAAGGGUGAACAUUAUGGACCCUGAAAAAAUAAGAGAAAUAUUUACCAAAUUUAAUGACUUCCAGAAGGUGCGUACCAAUCCACUGCUUACUUUGCUUGUAAGCGGCCUUGUUAACCUCGAAGGAGACCGAUGGAGCAAACAUAGAAAAAUCAUAAACCCUUCAUUUCAUCAAGAUAAGUUGAAGGUAUAGAAUAGUGAUGGGUACUUAAGACUUAAUUUACAGAAAACAUGAUACUUAAAUCUAUGCUUUUCUGAUUUAGAAAUGAUUGGAUGCAGAAUAUGUUGCCAGCAUUUUAUCAAAGUUGUUGUGACAUGUUAAGCAAAUGGGAGAAGAUGGUGUGUACAGAAGGAUACAGUGAGUUAGAUGUGUGGCCUUAUCUUGUAGAUUUGACAAGAGAUGUGAUUUCCCGAUCUGCUUUUGGAAGCAGCUUCGAAGAAGGCAGACGAAUUUUCCAAUUACUAGAUGACCAACUCGUUCUCAGAAUCAAAUUACUACAAACUGUUUACAUUCCAGGAUGGAGGUAACCCUCAAUUUACUUGAAAAAGGUUGCAAAUGUUGGAAUUGGCUAAAUUCGUGUUUGUUUCCUUGAAGGUUUUUGCCCACAAAGACAAACAGGGAGGUGAAGAUGAAACACAAAGACAUAAAAGAGUCGCUCAGGGAAAUGAUAAAAAGAAGAGAGCAGGCAAUUAAAGCAGGGGAAGAGAGCAAUGAGGACUUGUUGGACAUACUUGUGGAAUCCAAUAUCAGAGAAAUGGAAGCAAAGAAAAAGGGGAUGAGCAUUGAGGAUGUGAUUGAGGAAUGCAAGCUGUUUUACUUUGCUGGCCAGGAGACCACUUCGGUCUUACUGGUGUGGACUAUGGUUUUAUUAGCAAGGUAUCCCGAUUGGCAAAGUAAAGCAAGAGAGGAGGUUUUGCAUGUUUUGGGUGACAGUAAACCUGAUGCUGAUGGCCUUAAUCGCCUCAAAGUUGUAAGUCCCUAGCAUGUCUUUUGAAGGUCCGAUCAAUAAGGUCGACAACUCAAAAAUUUGGUUUCUUUUUUCGCUAAUUCUACAGUUAACAAUGAUAUUGUACGAGGUUCUAAGGCUGUACCCAUCAGCGACUGAGCUAGGACGUUCCGUUCCAAAAGAAAUAAAACUGGGAAAUUUGUUGUUACCAGCAGGAACAGAAAUUUCGGUUCCGAUCCUGCUGAUCCACCAUGACAAAGAUCUUUGGGGCGAUGACGCACGGGAAUUUAAGCCAGAGCGGUUCGCGGAAGGGGUUUCCAAAGCAACAAAGAGUCAAGUCACGUUUCUGCCAUUCGGAUGGGGUCCUAGGAUCUGCAUUGCCCAGAAUUUUGCUAUGAUGGAAGCCAAAAUGGCGGUGGCCAUGAUUCUCCAACGCUUCUGGUUCGAGCUUUCCCCUUCCUAUGCUCACUCUCCUUGCAGCAUGGUAACGCUUCGUCCACAGCAUGGUGCACAGAUUAUUUUACAUAAACUUGGCUCUAAUUGAGUAGUUAUGUAAACAAAUCAUUGUGAAAAUAGUGUUUUAACGUAUCGUAAAAACUCCGGUGUCUGUAAUGGAACAAUUCCGAUGCAUGGAUAGUAAAUUUUGUGAUGUUUGGUGAAGUCCGAAAUAAUAUGCAGAACUUGAGUGUCCUGAAUGGAUGUAGUAUUUAAUGGUGGACAUAGUUGAGGGACUAAUGUGGGAAUUAUCAAACAAAGAAUUGCAUAUGGUACAAAGACUUGUAUGGAAAUUAGAGCAGGGGGAGUAGAAAAUGACUACUUCUACGGGCAUCAAUUGAGAAAGAUUUCCGGUGCAAAUGUUAGCAAAUUUUUGAGCUUCAGCCUUAAACAUUAGCAAGAUUGCAAUACCGGGAUUAUCUAGUGUUGGUUGCCCACUCAAUUGAGGGUUAAGUUGAAGGAUUUGUUGAAGCAAGCUAAGCUAUCAAUCAAGGUUGGAGCAAGCUUAGGAGGUCACAAUACAUCAUUAUUGCAUAAUUAUUUAAAUGAAAUUUAAUAUUUAAAUAAAAAAUAUUAAUAUAGUACCAACAAUAUUCCAUUUCUUUUAACCAAGUGUUUCUAGAUUAUGAAAUUCAUUAAUGAUUUGUAAAAUAUAUUGAUGCGAUCCCGGCCGCAUCAUGUUUCGAUACAACUCGAUGACCUCAGAAUUGACCUAAACUCUAGGGGCCCAAGUGCAAAAUGAAGCUUAAUUUCAGCUCAAUGAGCUCAAUUCUAGCUUCUUCAAGCUCGUCUAGUUCAACCCAAGCUCAUUUAGCUUAACUUCAACCCAUUUUUAAUUUGUUGGAAUAAGUAUUUAGUUGCUGGAAUAAAUUACUCAUCUUAGUUAAUUGAGUUCAUCUUAGUUAAUUAAGUUGUUGGAAUAUAUUACUCAUCUUAGUUAAUUUAGUUGCUAGAAUAAUUUAUUGUUGCAUGUGUUUUUAAGUUUAUUAAAUUCAGUUAAGUGUUAAAUGUGUUUAUUUACAGUUUAUUAACUAAGCUUGUUAAGUCUAAUAUGUGUUAAAAUGUGUUUAAUGUGUUUGUUUGUAGGUGACUAAUCAGUUGGAAACAAUUAUGUACAAGGGCUGUUACAAAGUGUUAAAUGCGACUAUUCAUUUGGAAUCGGUUACAUACAAGGGGCUAUUACAUUAUUUAAAGGAGAGCAUUAUACAUCAUUUAAAGGAGAAUUUAAAGCUUUUCUUAAAACUUUUUGGCUGCUCAAGAAUGAAAUCUAAGCAUUCAAGCUUAUUAAAUCAACUGAAUUAGAACAUUAAAUGAUCUUAUUGAUAGUUGCUGUUAUUUAGGCCUAGAAUUUCAAGAGUUUGUGCUUAGUGACUAAGUUAAUUUCAGCUCAUUAUUAGCUCAUUAAGCUGAACAAAAGUGACUAUUCGGCUAGGCCUCAUCUAGCACUAUAAAUACUUGUAAUCAGCUCAUUGUAAAAAAAACUUUUUGCUGAAUUUAUGCUAAAUUUGAAACUUGUGAGAUUUCCAAUUCUCGUUGUUCUUUCGAGAUUGAAUUGACUUAUCAAGUUUUCUUGUGGCAUCAUUCUUUCUUUUGUUUAAACCGAAUCUUAUCACCUUUUGGUGUGGCGUUCAUAUACAUUUGGUUCCUAUCACUUUUGAUAGUGGGUAAAGGUCAUUGCUGCUUUCUUUAAAUCGUAAAUCACCUAAGAGCCAUUUUGAGACUCGGGUCAACAAUCUAAUAUUGUUGGUUCAUUCUCGGUCUUAGCCAAAUUAUCCAUUAUUUACUUAACCAUUUUACCUACUACCAUUGUUUGAAGCCAUUUAUCCUAUUUUGUUUCAUUUAACUGAAACGAACUUAUCCUUACUCAAUUCACGAUCGGGUAAUCUAAACGACUCGAAUCAUUCCGAAACGAGUUCGUAUCAUAUAUCCUCCAUUCUUAUUGAGUGGGUGUAAUGAAAAUUCUCCUAUUUCUAAUUGUGAUAAAGUAGAAACUCUCUUUAGAAAAAAGGCAGCAACAUUUUUCAAUUAUUAAUUGAACACCUUGGUGAAUUUUCGUUUUUUUUCUUUUUUUCUUUUUACGGUUCAAUUUUCGUUUGGGUAUUGUAAUUUCAGGUUAAUCAUUGUUUGGUUGAUAUUCUCAACUUCAAUCUUUAAUUUACUUGAGAUUAUUAGUUGAUUGUUUUUGUUGGAAUUAUAUGAUUUUAUUGUGUAUUUAUGUUUUAAUCUUUUAGAAAGAAGUUUUUAUGUGGACUUUCAAGCUUCGUAAUUUUUAUUAUUUGCUUUACGUAAAAAAAACUCGUGGGAUACAAAAAUUCACAAAAAAACUUGCUAUAAGAUUACAACACAAAACCAUAAGCUUAUAACUCAACAAAAGCUAUCAAUAAAUAAUCUCAAGCUAGCUAAAGAGAAAUGUAAAGAAUAUCACCCAAACAGUAACUUGCUUUAAAAGUUAAAAAUCCAAAGUUAUAGUACCCCAAACGAAAAUCGAAUAUUAAACAUUAAAGAUCUUCGAUUCUACUAGCUAUUGUAAAAAAAAAAAAUUCCAACGGACACCAAAUAGACCUUUGAUCGAAGAAAAUACGAAAACUAGUCUGGUUAAAACUACAUGCCAAACUCACUUUUUCUCAUUUCUUUAACUUGCGGUGAAAUUCAAAACUAAGGUUAUAUUUUUUUCACUGAAAUUAACUUUAAAAAAAUUAUCUCUAAAAAAUGAUUGAUUUUUCAAAAAAGAUUGAUAUUUUUUUAUGUUUGGAUGAUUUUUUGUAAAAUAUAUUUCGUUGUUUGACAAAUUUUUUUGAAAUAAUUUUCUUAGAGUUGUUUUUAGUAAAACAAACAUAAGAUAGAUAUAUUUGUUACAAAAGAUUAUAGUAACAUUUUCUUUUGACAAUUUAAAUUUAUUUUAUAACCAGAUGAUAUUUUAUAAUAAUUAAUAUUAUAUAUAAACUUAAUAAUAAACAAUAUCUAAUUAAAACUUAAUUUAUAUUAAAUAUAUUAAUAAAGCUAAGUAUAAUUUAAACAAAUACUCAUGUUUUAUAUCAUUAAAAUAUUAAUAUAAAUAUUUUUCAAUAAUAUAUUAAGAAUAUUAUUUAAAAUUUAAAAUUAUUAUUUUUAAAAUUAAUUAUUAAAAUAAAAAUGUAAUAUUAAAUAAUUUAUCAAAAUGAUAAGUCAUAUUAAUAAUUUAUUAGAUUAUUAAAUAUAAAUAAUUAAAUAUGUAUAUUUAAUAAUAUUGAACAUUAUAAUAUUUUUUAUUAAUAUUUUAAUAUUAUUAAUAUAAUAAUAUUGGACUUGAUUCAAGUUAAUUUUUAUAUAAAAAAAUAAAAUUACAUGUAAAUGAACUCAUUUUCAAAAAAAUAACUUGUACUUUUAAAAAAGGUAAACUAAUUUACAGAAAAAUAAACUUAUUUUCUGUUAAUCUAUAAUUUUUUUUGUUAAUCAAAUUAUUUUCAUGAAAUAAAUAUAAAAAAAUACAAAAAAAAAACAGUUUCCAUAUUAACACUCAAUACUAAACUGUCAUUUUCCUCAGCUUCCCUAAUUUGUAUGUAGCAGUGAACGUUUGAUCGAAUCGAGUAAAAAAAAUUGAGUUGACGAGUCAUAUUUUAUCAUCUUAACUUGAUUUGAGAUUUUUUUAAAUCAAGUCAAAGACUAAGAGCACAUAAAUUUGAAACCUUAUCUAUUUGAAUUUGUUUUUAAAAAAAAAGAAAAAAAAUACUUUAGCAUGAUAAACUUGAAUUGUGAAUUAACUUAUUUAGAUCCCAAAAUUAUUAUUUUAUAAUUUUUUUAAAAAAUAUAAAUUUUAAAAUUUUUAUAAAUAUUUUGAAUUGAAUUUUUGUUGAGAGAGAGACCGAUCUAUCAUUUUCAAAAUUAAAAAAAAGACCAAACUAUAUUUACAGCAAUUUAUUAUUCGAAUUAUUUAAAUUAUAUAAUUUAACUCAAUUUAAAAUCGAAACUCGAAUAACUAAAUUUAAUUAACCCGAAAUUUAUUUUUUAAAUUUUUUAAAUCAAAUCGAAUUUUGUUCGCCCUACAUCAAUAACUUUGUAUCCAUAUCAAGCUUUUUUUUAAGCUAUAUAUAUUAUUUUAGAGAAUACAUGGUCACCACGGUUCAAUGAUUGAACACCACUCCACUCUCCACUUUUUUUUGUGGUUUAUCCUCUUAAUUUUUUGAGGAUAUCAUUUACUAAAUAAUUUAUUUUUUACAUAAAUUUUAAUAUAUAUUAAUAAUAAAUUAAUUCAAUUGGUAAUAUUUAACUAUUCUCAUGACUCAUUUUUAAUAAAGAAAAUAAUAAAAUUCAAUUAUGAUAAGGAGGUUUUAUUUUUAACAAAAAUUAUUUUUUAUAUUUCUAAGUUUAAAUCUAAAUUUAUACAAGUUAUUCUUUAUUUUAUAUCUAAUUAUUGUAAAACAUAAAUAAUAAUUUUUUUUUUUCCUUUUCAUGCUACCAAACAAUCCAUUAAUCAUUAAUUAUAUUAAAAUCUUUGACUUAUUAAUAUUUAUGGACAGUAAAUCGGAUGCUAAAGAAAUCUUAGUCAAACCAAAAAGAAAGAAGAGAUAGAGGUGGGCAAAGCUGAGGUUCAGCUUUCAUAAACACCUUCAUUUGAAGACACAGUUCUCAUACUCAAACCAAAAGACAUGGAAGUUUUCCUUGUAAUUAGAGAUCUGGUUUCACUGCUUGUUGUUGGGUUAUUAAUGAUAUGGGGAUGGAGGGCUUUAAACUGGGUAUGGUUGACCCCAAAGAGACUCGAAAGGUGCUUGAAACAACAGGGUUUUGCAGGAAAUCCUUAUAGGUUCCUUUCUGGAGACAUCAAAGAGAGCUUCACUAUGAGCAGACAAACAAGAGCCAAACCUAUGCCUGUUAGUGAUGAUAUUGAGGCUUAUGUUGUUCCUUUUCUUCAUCGAACUAUCAACAAUCAUGGUAUGUUCUACAUUAAUCUGCAAUUUCAUCGUGAUAUUCAGAUUUCUUUUUUUAUGUCUGAAGUUUAUUAGGGGAUAUGCAGGAAAUAAUUCAUUUAUGUGGUUUGGUCCAAGACCAAGGGUGACAAUUAUGGACCCUGAAAAAAUAAGAGAAAUAUUUACCAAAUUCAAUGACUUCCAGAAGCCUCAUUCCAAUCCACUGGUUAGAUUCCUUGUAGGUGGCCUUUCCAACCUCGAGGGAGACCAAUGGAGUAAGCAUAGAAAAAUUUUAAACCCUGCAUUUCAUCAAGAUAAGUUGAAGGUAUGUUGUAUUUGCACUUUUUUUCCUCUUUCAAUUCAAUCAUUUUGACUUACCUUAAUCAAUACCUUUAGGAGACUAAUUUUCAUUUCUAAUAUAUUUAUGUACUUCUGGUAUGGAAAUAAUUGCAGAACAUGUUGCCAGCAUUUUAUCAAAGUUGUAAUGAGAUGAUAAGCAAAUGGGAGGAGAUGGUGUCUAAAGAAGGGUACAGUGAGUUAGAUGUGUGGCCUUAUAUCGUAAAUAUGACAAGAGAUGUGAUUUCCCGAGCUGCGUUUGGGAGCAGCUACGAAGAAGGAAGAGGAAUUUUCCAACUAUUAGAGGACCUAACCUCUCUCACAAUCAAAGUUUUUCAAUCUGUUUACAUUCCAGGAUGGAGGUAAACCUGAACUUUAUCUUCGAGUUUUAAGGAAAAUGUUACAGAUGUUGAAAUUCGAAUCUCGGGUGUUUGUUUUCUUGAAGGUUUUUACCCACAAAGACUAACAGGGAGUUGAAGAUGAAACACAAAGACAUAAAAGAAUCGCUUAGGGAAAUGAUAAAGAGAAGAGAGAAGGCAAUUAAAGCAGGGGAAGAGAGCAAUGAGGACUUGUUGGACAUACUUGUGGAAUCCAAUAUCAGAGAAAUGGAAGCAAAGCAUAAGGGGAUGAGCAUUGAGGAUGUGAUUGAGGAAUGCAAGCUGUUUUACUUUGCUGGCCAAGAGACCACUUCGGUCUUACUGGUGUGGACUAUGGUUUUACUAGCAAGAUAUCCUGAUUGGCAGACUAAAGCAAGGGACGAGGUCUUGCAUG